rnacentral:lncRNA from 1 species
CUUUAUCCUUCAUGCUGCUGCAAGAUGGGGAGAAGGUGAACAAUCAGUCGGAGCUCUGAUUGCUUACCUUGUUUGUCACCUCUUUCAGCAGACCCCCUAGCUCGGCGACUUGGGGGACUCCUACUACCUGGUUUGUAUCGCGCUUGACCAAGCCUGAAACUACAAGUAAGCUUCAAGUGAAAUUGAUACAUUACCUUGUGCAUCUCCACCAGUUAAAGAUACCACCCCUGGAUGGAGGAAGAGUACUUCCAGAGAAGAUGCCACAUCUACCUAUGAGACAGAUAAGGCAAGUCAAGACGACACCACACUCCGAUACUUAGAAGUUUCGUGAUUACGAGAUCAUUCUCCCACAAUAUUUCCUAAUGGCAUUUGUACUAAAUCAUUCACUUGUACUCACUAAAUGAGAGCUUGAACCUAUGUACUUGUGUAAACCCUUCACAAUUAAUGAGAACUCUUCUAUUCCGUGGACGUAGCCAAUCUGGGUGAACCACGUACAUCUUGUGUUUGCUUUCCUAUCUCUAUCCAUUUAUAUACUUAUCCACACUAAUGACCGGAGCAAUCUAGCGAAGCUCACAAAAAGCGAUCGUUUUCGCUACCUAGGAUCUAUCUUGCAAGAGAACGGAGAAUUAGAUGGAGAUCUCAACCAUAGAAUACGAGCUGGAUGGAAAGAGUGCAUCCGGCGUGUUGUGUGACCGUCGUAGGCCACUGAAGCUCAAGGGAAAAUUUUAUAGGACGGCAAUAAGGCUAGCGAUGUUGUAUGGCACAGAAUGUUGGGUGGUGAAACAUCAACACGUACACAAAAUGGGUGUGUAGCGGAGAUGAGGAUGCUUCGUGGGAUGUGUGGGCACACGAGAAAGGAUAAGAUUGGGAAUGAGGAUAUCCGAGGUAAAGUAGGAGUAACCGAAAUUGUAGGAAAUAUGAGAGAAAAUCGGCUCCGGUGAUUUUGAACAUGUGCAAAGAAGGCCGACUGACGCUCCGGUUCGAAGAUGUGACUACGGGACAGAGGUUCAGGGCCGAAGGGGUAGAGGAAGACCUAGGACAACUUUGGAAGAGACUCUAAGAAAAGACGUAGAGUACUUGGAUCUAACGGAGGACAUGACACAAAACCGAGCGCAAUGGCGUUCUAGGAUUCAUAUAGCCGACCCCACUUAGUGGGAAAAGGCUUUGUUGUUGUUGUUGUUGUAAAGAGCCAUAAUUCUGUAACACAAUAUCAAAUUGGAUAGAGAGAAAUAUAGAGAGAACCUGCAUCUUUGAUGGACCAAUGGAUUUUUCUUGUCCAGAGUCUUCCAACUUAACUGUAACUUCUGCAUCCCCUUUGACACUGUUCUUCCUUUUAGAGCCACCAGAGUUCAAAUGAUCCAAUGAGGGUCGAAGCUGUACAACCGCGUGAACAGGAUUCAAGUGUAACUGCAAAAUGAAGAAAAAAACCAACAGUCUCACAAAGUAAGAUACUAUAAAUAUAAAACUGAAUUACUCUCAUAGGAGAUACUAAAAAGUUACUAAUUAUAUGUAGCAUGUGAGAGUAAGUUUAAUUGGAAUUAAUAAAUAUAUAUUCUCAAACUACCAAUAAAAAAGAGAGAACAGAAAGACAACUUUGUUUGCACUUGUCUAGACUCUGAACAUUUCAUUUCUGAGCAGAAUUAAAGUUCUCAUUUUCCAUGUGUGAGAGAGGGCAGCCAUGUCAGAGUCAUAUAAUGGAUUAGAAAAACAAAUUUGAUCAUACAUCAAUAAAAAACCAAAUGCAUAAUUUGCAUCUAUCAAGCAAGCCACAUAUUCAUGAUUUCACAACCACUCUUGUUAACGAACUGCCUUGGUGACACAAUGACAUUGUGUUAGAUUGUGCUCUUAGAUGUUCAAUCCAAUCCCAAACAACAAAACUCAUUCUUUGUGACCAACCACAUUUGGAACAGAGAGAUAACAUACGGAGGAGCAGCACUUAGCAUCUAAAAUUUACACAGAAUCCUUUGCAAGAAGAAGCUAUAUGGAAGCUUGGAAUUGAACUUUGUUUGGGUCUGAAGGCCGUUCAGUAAUUAUUUAAACCUAGCCAGCUUUCAAUAAAUUAACACCACUCAGAGUAAACACCAAAACACUUCCAAGGUACGUAUUUCAACACUACUUGAUCAAAAAUAAAUAACACCCUAUUUGCUUUGCAAGUUCAAUGACUGCACUCUCUUAAAAAAAAAAUUUGGAAGUGACCAGAAACUCAACUGCCCCACAAACUCAGGAACCCUCCAUAACGUUUUACUUACUAAAACUUUACUUUGAGGGUAACAAGGGAUGUGGUCUCGUCAAAUGAUCUUAAUGACAAACAACCUUCAUUAGAAGUGCUUGAGAUCAGAAAUUGGCUAAAAACUAAACCGUUUACAAACCUACAGUUGUUAAUGUAAAUCCAGCAACAUUCAAGAUGCAACAUAAAACCCAUGGAUGUUAAAGUUGAUACCUUAUUGCCCAUCAAAACACCAACAGCAUAGCCACUUGUGCCAGGCGGCUUCCAUGUUGUAGACAAAGUCUGAAAAUAAACACAACACAAAUCCCCAACCCGCUUUACAUUACAUAACAGUGUAGGCAACAAUGUCACAACAUCCAAAACAUACUCAAGCUAUUGCUACAAUGUUUAUGCACAAAAUUGACCUGCUUUGUCAUUUUCAAUCUACUAGCGCAAUCUUCAUCGAAAUUCUUCGGGUCCCGAUCGAGAGACAAAUCAAUCUCCAUUUCUGAAGUGGCGGGGUUCAGCCUCACCUCCUCGCACCGGCUCUCCAACUCGUAAGGCCGCCACCACGGCCUCAGAGGAUAUUGCAAUACAUACAACUAAUAACGAAAAAGAUCAAAAUUUUAGGCAAAUCCUUUCCAAAAAAACAAGAAAUUAGAGCAACAGAGAGAAGAAUGACAGACCUUAGAGUUGUCAUCGAUUUUCGGAUUGAAGAAGACGUCGAUUUCCCGCACGACCUCGUCUUCCAGUUCGUCUUCUUCCAUAGGAUCAUCCUCUUUCGAUACGUCGCCGUUUUCGGUUUUCAAACCGCCAUUUGAGUCUUCGGCCUUCGGCGCGCUUCCUUCUUCGUCUUUCUUCUUCACAAUCCGGGCGUCCAGUUCUUCUCGUGAAGGUUUGAGCUCUGGCUCGGACUUCGGGACCGGUUCUUGUUUGGCGACGGGUUCGGAUUUGGGUUUAGGCUUGGCCUUGGAGGACCGGGGCACAAACCGGUUGGGCCGGGAAGGGGCCUGGCUGGUCGCAUCGAGGUCUUCGAGGUUCAUCGUCGGCUACUCUGUGGUUUCUGUUUGUUCCGGUGAGAGGUGGUGGAGAACGGAGCUGUGAGAGUGGGGGCUUUCGUGCGCGGUUCUUUUUAGGGGUUUUCAGGGGUGAAGUUUGCGUGGGGUUUUUAUAAGUUUCGGACUCUUUAAAUUCAAUAAUUACAUUUUUGGUCCACGUAAUUUAAAUUGUUUGUCACUUUGGUCCGUGUUAUUUUAAGGGGUCUUUUAAUUACAUUUAUUUGAAAAUAUAAGUUUGUAUAAAAAGAUACUAGAUGAGGUGGUAUAAAAAGAUGGUAGCAGAGGGAAGUUGAAAUGCCUCUAUAAUUUGGUUUACGGAAGGAUGGACUGUUGUGAUGAAGCCAUCAGCUAGUCCCCUUUUUAAAAAUUAAAAAUUAAAAAGAUGCUAAAGGCACACACACUGUAUGUAAAUAUGAAAGAUUUAAAAUGAUAAAUAUAUGUUAUUUAGUAUUAUGGUCUAGGGGCAAUCUAAAGUCUUAUGUCAAAUUUUGUACCUUUCCAACCGGGUCAAAUAUUAUUUUAUUAUUUAAAUAGUUGUAAUUAUUUAUAAAAAAAAAAAGUUGAAACAAAUUUUUUUAUUGGUUGAAAUGUUAGACCAUCUUCAACCCUUGGCCUAAAACCUUACAUUUUUAGCCCAUAAAAUUUAGAGUAUGUUUGGUACUCUACUUGAAUCCAACUUUUUAAACUCAAAAAUAAUUUUCAAGUUUUAGGCCUUGAAAACUUGGGUGGGAAUCGAUUGGGGGGGGGGGGGGGAAUAGAAGGGAAAUUAUAGGUUUUAGGCCAUGAGUUGGAGUUGGCCUUUAGCGGAAUAAGAGGCCCACCAUUAAAAUGAAUUAAAAAUAAAUUUGACAUUGAUGUUAAAUUUGACUCUAAAUCACAAAGACUUCAAAUCCAGUCAGCAAAUAGCACUUUGGUUGGAGAGGCUUUUGAUGUCAAAUAUGGACAGUGACAUUCCACCUGAGAUUUUGACAUCUUCUUUGAAGAUGCUCUAAUAUUAUUUUCUUUAGUUUUUGGUUGAUAAAGAAUAUUCUCUUAAUAGGUAUUACCGAUUAUACGCAUUGUUGGGAAUAAUUGAAUUCAACCGAUUACGCAGAAUUGAUUCUAAUCCAUUUUUUGUUACGUUUCCUUUCUUAAGAUCAAAAUUAUUGCCAAAUAUCAAGGAAUGGCGGGAAGCGAAAAUCAAAUCCCCUUCAUGGUGCCUAUUCUCGCUAAACAAACGCGGCACAAGUGGAAGAAUGAUCAAAUCCCCUUCCUAGUUGUGGAGCUAUUGUUGGCAAUCCGAGAAGACCAUUCUGCACUUUUCUAAAUUUAUAUUGAUCGUUGUGUUUUAUACAAUUACCUUUCAAAGUGUCAACGACAAGUAAUUUCUCUCCUUUGUGAGAGUCCUCUCGCCGGAGUGAGAGUAUCUCUCUCUGGCGUGAGAGGCCCUUUUCACCUCACGAAUAGCCAGCCCCCACCAAUCACUAGCUGCUGUACCUAUUUUGUGCGUCUGAUCUUUAGAUGUAUUGGCUCCGCUCCCUAGCGCUGCUUCGUCUGCCAGUUUGAGAGUCGAUCGGGAUAGUACUCCUCUUAUAUUUUCCUCCUCGUUCUUUUAGUUUUAGCCUCCUUUUCAAACCUUAAUCCCAAAAUGGAAGCCCCUUUUCCUCAUCCCCUUACGUUUCCGUCCACAUCACUUUCCCUCCACCCCAACAAAAAAACUAGUAGUGUUUUGGACCCGAUUGGGGAUCUGGAUUGCUUUCCCACUACGGCACUACCCACUUCUCUACUGGCAUGCCGGAAUAUAUGGGCGAAGUGUUCUACGACUUUCGUCGUGGUAAGAGUGUUUUACUUAUCCUCUUGGUCCUCUCCACCCCUUUGUUAUUGUACUGUUUUGAUACUCUUCUUGCAAGUGUGGUAGCUGUUCGUAUGAAACUAGAUGGUUCGGUCGGUUGCGGCACUUUAAGAAUAUGAUUUUUGCUUCUGGUGUGCUCGUUUUUGUGGCGUUAUUUUGCUUGUGCUUGGCUUUUUGCGUGUCCACCUUCGAUUUGGUUCCUACACGGCGGCUACUUUGGUGGUUGCUAGCGAGAGACAUCCAAUGGCGUGAUGUGUCUUUUGAAUGGGAAUUAGGGUUUUUUAGGUUUUGUUUAGCGUUUGAGCCUCUCUCUAAGUGAUCUAGGCUGCUGCUUUUGUUGUUAUUGUGACCUAUGUUUUUCUUAAGCAUUGGGUUUGUAAUAUUUAAAUGGGCUAAUAUUUAAAGUUUGUGGAUUUUGGCUAUGUAUAUACUCUCUCUUUGAAAGUAUGUGAUCAGUAUUCCUCAAACCUAUUUAUUAUACCAUUUUCUCUAAAAACGUUUUCAAUUAUUUUAAAAGCACAUCCAAAUAAGCCUGUAAAUGAUCUUUACCAAAAAAAAAAUUUCAACAACUCCUAAAUAAUAUUUGGCCUAAUUACAUAUGUAAUUUCAUUAAUUUAUUUGUUAUAGGAAAAACAUGGACAUUGUCGCACCUAAUUAAACCUCACCUAUGAAAAAAUCGAUCACACUUUUUUUUUUUUUUUGAGUUGAGUGAUAUCAUUAGUAAUUAGAUGUUAGAUUAGCCACUGAUGGGAUUCAAACUUACACCGUCAUGUAAGGGUGUUACUCCUCUCCAUCACUAUGGUAGAGGGCCACCUCCCACUCUUCUUAUUAUAACCUAAUGCUUCUCUCUGUUUGAUAAUUUUAGGGCGGUUUAUUGAAAGACUAAAAGCGCUUUUAAGUGAGGUUAACAAAAGGAGUUAGAAGUAUUUACGAGUUAUAAAAGUAUUUUCUAAAUAAUUAGUUUAAGGAAGCUUUUUUUAAGUGUUGAAAAUGUAUUCAGCCCUUGCAUGACGGUGUGAGUUCGAACUCUGUCGGUGGCUAAUCUAACAAAAUCUAUUGUUUGACAAAAAAAAAAAUAUUUUUAGGAAGCUCUUUUUAAGUACUUUUUUUUUAUUAAGGACUGGCUUAAAUUUUAAGUAACUAAUAAAAACACUUUCAACAUAAGCGCUUAUAAACAUAAAUGUUUUGUGAAUAAACAAUCCCAAAAAAACAUUUCAUAUUUGCUUUCACAAAAUUUGUAUGGUAAAAGAAAUAUAAAGACCAACUUUUGGUUAGAAUACCCAAAAGCCCCAAUAACAGGAUUUGGAUCCUCUCCGAGGCAACUGGUCGGGAUCCUCCUGACCAAUAUUCGUGAACCGUUGGAUUUUUAUCCAACAGCUACAAACAGGGGGACUCUCUAAAAGUUAUAAUAAUUGUAGCCGUUGGAUAAAAAUCCAACGGUCCACGAACACUGGUCAGGAGGAUCCUGAUCAGUUGCCUCAGAGAUGAUCCAAAUCCCCAAUAACACGAGUAUGUUUUAGUGAAAGGUGCAGUGCAUGGAUAAUUGUAACAUCUCACAUCGCCCAGGGGAGUGGAUCAUGUAAGCCUUAUAUGUAUAUUCUUAUAUCUACUAAGUACGAAGUCUUUUAGGAGCUCAUUGGCUUCGGAGUUCAUCGGAACUCCGAAGUUAAGCGAGUUCGGACGAGAGCAAUCCCAUGAUGGGUGACCCACUGGGGAAGUUCUCGUGUGAGUUCCCAGAAACAAAACCGUGAGGGUGUGGUCAUGGCUCAAAGCGGACAAUAUCGUGUUACGGUGAAGUCGAGCCCAGGAUGUGGUGGGGGCCCGGGCAGGGAUGUGACAACAAAGCUUGACAAAUAUGUAAAAUAGGUAUUUUAGCCAAAAUUAUUCAUGAGGUUGUCAAUAAUGCUUCACUUUGGUCAUCGAUAUUUAAAAUUGAUAAAAAUUGUCCCUAAAAUUGUCCACCGUAAAUCAUUUUGGUUAUGCCGUAAAUUUUUUUUGUUAAAUUGAAGGAACCACAAUUUCAAGGGGAGGGGUUCAUUUGAUAAAAAUACCCUCAAUUUAACGAAAAUUUCUCACAAAGGGGGCCAAAAUGAUUGACGGUGGACAAUCUUAAUGAUCACUUAUAUCGAUUUUACAUAUUAGAAACCAAAAUGAGGAGUUAUGUUAAUCUUAGAGACUAUUUUGGAUAACAAGCCUAUAAAAUAUUAAGUCGAUAAAAACAUAUAUUUGCAAUCUAAGGAGGAGGUGGUCUUAAACCGAAAUCUUGUUUUAUGUUGAGACGAGUGAAUUGUAUGACAUGUUCGUGUGUAGAUACCAAAACAAAUAUUUACAUAAUUAAAAGCUUAGAUUAAGAAUAUGAAAAUAUAACAUAUCAAAUUGUCUGACAAUAAAUUAUCGUCUAAUAUAUGCGCAUAUUACUCAACGCACUUUGUACGGCUGUACAUUUCUUCUUCUCAAUACUCAGUAGAUUCCUAUGCAUGUUACUCAACGCACUUUUUUAUGACGAACAGUAAGUAAAUGCUUGAACUCUCAUAAAUUAGAUUUUGGCAUACAUAAUACAUGAACUCUCAAUGAUGAUCUUGAUCUACGAAUGUCCUGCAUCAUCCAAGCAUAAGAAUGUAACAUGUAAAUUGUAAUUCUCUAUUAGUGUGAAACAGCAAAUAAUUGUCGACUUGAGUUGAGCUGAGUUGAGGGAGCCACGUAUGUUCAUACGUAUAUAUUUUAUUUGAAUAGUAGAUUUUAGGGUUUGGUUUUACUACUGUUCAAUCUAUACAUUAUUGGCACAAACAGUAUAUUGCCAUAGAUAUUUUGUGUCUCUUGAGAGAUACUCGUCAUUUAAUAUCAUUAUCUAGUGGUACUCCUCUUUAUUAAGUGAGAGAUUUUACAUUUGAAUAUUUUUUGUAAGUGAAAGAUUUUACGUUUGAAUAUUGUGAAUGGUAAAUUCAAUAUCGAUUUUUUCUUGGAUAUAAUAACAUAGGUAGAAGUAUUGACAUUGUUUUCAUAUUUAUGCAGAGGUCUAUUUUUGUUUUUCCUUUUCUUAGGGAUGCAACAUCAUUACUCUUUUUCUAGGGUUUCUUCUUUUUUCUUGGUUAAUUGUUUUGUUUGGUUGGGGGUGUGGGAUUGAAAAUGCGGGAUUCGGAUCUCAUUCGGAUCCAAAUUGUGCAGAUCCUAGAGAUUCUUACAUCUUAGUCACUCAUCGUGCAACAUGCGAUAAAAAAUCAUUUGAUUUUUUUGUUUAAAAUUAAACACAAAUAGUAUCUGACGAAAAAUGACCGCACGAUGUACGAUGAACGGUUAGAAUGUGAGGAUCCCCACAAAGUGAAUCCGGAGAGGAUCCUCCUCCGAAAAUGUGGCCACCAGUCAGCCACCUCUUGUCAGUUGUCCCUAUCGCAAUUGCAAAAGAGAUGGAAUCCUAUCAUUUUAUAGUGAAGGUGCAAAAGGAGAUGGUAACCAGUGAAAAUGCAGAAGAAGAUGGGUACCUAACGAGGGUUGGUUGAGUUCGUAAAGAUCAUUCUCUUUACUAGACAAAGGCUUGGGUUUGAGUUUCAUUGUUGACAAUACCUUUUGGCGAACGAUCUAUAAAAACAAAAAAAAUGAGAAUAAGACCCCUUUUGUAAGUCUUCAAAAAAAAAAAAAACAUAUACAAGGCUGAAGGUGCAAAAGGAGAUGGGAACCAGUGAAGGUGCAAAGGAAGAUGGGUAACCACCUAAGGAUUGGUUGAGUUUAUAAAGAUCAUUCUCUUCGCUAGACAAAUGUUUUUAGUUCAAGUCUCGCUGCCGAUAAUCCCUCUUGAUGGACGACCUGUAAAAAUUCAAAAGGGACUAAGACCCAUUCUAUAAGUCCUCAAAAAAAUUUAAAAAAAUUAUACCCUGACCGUGAGAUGUAUAGCCACCCCGCUCCUAAACUUUUUAAAACCCAAAAGGAGGUGGGAACCUAUUAGAAAAGUGUGAGAUAUCCAUCUCCUAUAGUAAGCUUAGCUAGGCGGCCAGUCCUGCCAUUCCCAUCUCUCUUUCAAACCAAUAAAAAGAGAUAUUAUAGGUAGGAGGGAAAAAUGGGUUAUUACAUUAGUCAAUGACUCGUAGUUUUCCACUAUGCAACAACUGAUCUGGCAAAACUCCAUCAUGAAAGGAACAUAAGAGUGAAAAAGGAGAAGGGUUGUGAUAAGCACACACAUGCAUGGUCCAUGCAUGGAUGAGUAAAUAUUGAAUCGACUUAAAAUUAAAAGGGUUUUUGGACUUUAAUCUUUAGACUCGGUUGAACUUGUGCAUUGUAUCUGAAGGUUUUGCAUCUUUUUGAUAAGCAAAAAGGCACAUCUUUCUUAUUGUGGGGAUAUAUAACUUUUAAUACACCUUUUCGUAUAUACAAUUCGAGAGGGUGCAUAAUAUCACGUUGUGUAGAUCUUUCAUCAUUUGAAUGAAGGAAAUAAAAGUCAUGUCAUGUAAUUAAUAAGAGAAAAACCCAAGGUAUUUCUUAGAAUUUAUAUAGCAUGUGAUUUUGAUUAAGUGUUGAAUAAUGCCAAACAAUAAAUAAGAAACCACAUCCUUAAUUUUUCAUGUGGAGAUGUUUUUAUUUUGAUGUAAGAGUUUUAGAAGCUCAAGAAAUGAAUGUUUUUAAUCAACUGAGUUACAAGUAAAGGUAACAAAUUAACUCAUUGGGUUGUCAUGAAUAUCCGUUAAGACUCGUUUAAUUUGAUAUCACCAUAAUAUAGAGGUGAGAUUAGUGUAGUGGUAAUUAAUAAUGGUGUAAGGUAAAAUCAAACUAAAUUGAUCUUAAUACGUACCCAUUAACAACCUAAUGGAUUAAUUUGCCACUUCUAGUUACAAACUUUGAAUGGAUGCUAUUUUAAUAUAAAGCACCAAAAAGAAAAGGAGGUGAUGGAACAGUUCCAACUUCCGAGCUUAUACAGGAAACAAAUUAUGUAGAACCUUAGGUUUGGUAGGGGAAAGGUGUCUAAUAUUUUCGGAGUAGGAUUUUGUCCCCUUCUAUUCUCAACCUCUUCCCUCCCCUCCUCUCACAUAUUGUUUUUUGUCUUAUUGUCUCUAUAAAAAAAAUCAAUACAAGAUGUUGACGCGGCUAAACCGUAACCGUUCAAAUAAGAGGAGAUGGAAAAAGAGAGAGAUUAGGAGGGGAGAGAAUUCUCCUCCAAUAUUUUCACCUUACGCGUAGAUUUCAGUCAUUACAUAAGAUAUAGUAGCAUAUUAUUUUAUGUUAUCAAUAAUAUCGUUAAAACAUUCAUUACAGGAUGGCCAAGAGAUUCAAUAUUUUACCAGCAAAUCCUUUUCCGAGAGCCAGAUUGCACUAAUAUCAUAAGAUAAGAUAUGGACCCAAUAAGGUUUAAUAGCAACUGGAUUACAGGGAGCAAAUGUCACCAUGUUAAGGAACAGAAGCUCAAUUUGGACAAAAGCAAAGCACUGCACGUAGGGUCAUUCCUGCCAUGACUCAUAAUCAGCACAACAACUAUAAUAUAAAGGAUUCACAAGAGUUUUCUUUAAUCUUAUUCUGUGAUCUUUAGCUAGUUUAUGAUUUAUUAUUUUUUUUCUUCUGAAAAGCUAAUUGAUUUAAUUACCUAUAUAUUUGCUAAAGUAGUUUGUGUGAAUUUUUGGAUUGUAUAUUUUUCUCCAUAUGGAGGCUACUAUAUAUAAAUUAAUUACAAGGGAAUAUUAAACUACAGAAUUGUAGAAAACCCUAACUACGAAGGUCAACUAAUCCCACAACAACUCACUAAUGUUUUACCACUAAAGCUAGAAACUAUAUAUUAAUCUAGAAAAUAUAUAUUUCUCUUUGCAAUGUGAAGAUGUCAUUUUAAAUUCUCUUUUAUUUUUUGGUAGACGGUAAAUUAAGACAGAUGUCUGUUGAUCAUUGAUUAUUGUGUAACCAAUGCCACAUUACCUUAAGUUGUUAGAAUGUUUGUUAUGUGGUUAAAUGAGUUGUUAGUUGGUUAAUUAGUUACUUUAUGGUUAUUGCUCAGUAUAUAAUGUACUUCAACUUACAAAUGUAAUCAGUUGUCAUUUUUACUAAUUAUUUUUUAUUCAGUGGUGAAUACUAUUUACUUGUUCAUUCAUUUUUUUCCCUGUGUGCAUGCCUGCAUGGUAUAUUCUAUACGUAAGAGAGAGCUGAAUACAAUUCAUUAGGAAACUUGAUUCUAAUCCUUGAUAAAUAUGACUUUUAGACUAAAACUGUGAGUAAGAUCAAAAUCUAAUUUUAGUCAAGUGAUAUAUUAAUCACCUCAUUUAUUAAUUAUAUUUGAUGUUUAAAUUAUUUCUCUUUUUCUUCCUAAUUUUAAUGUAUUGAUUAUAUUUCAUUAUAAUUUUCAUUUUCAUUUCAUUCAUCAUAAUAUAUUUUGUUGUAAACAUUUAGAUAAACUAAUUUUUGUUAUACAAUAUAUAUUGAUAUACUUUGUGACAGCCCAUCCCGAAAUAUGGAAUAAUUUAUUCUUGAGAGCGUGGAAAUUACUAUAUUGCCCUUGAACGUUGUGUGGUGUUGUGUGGAGUGAGCUUAGUAUUUGGACCAAUUAAUUUCUUCCCUAAGUUUUGGACCCAAUUAGAACUUAAGCUUGUUUUAGUUUUUGGUUGUUUUGUUUUGUUGCCCAAAUUUUGAACACACUUAUCCUGUUGACCUCUCUCUCUCCCUCCCCCCUCAAAAUCUCUCUCUUUGUCCAUACAAUCGUACGAGUUGCGAAUAUUUUUAUUUAUUUAACAAGUUGCAAAUAUUUUUAUUUAUUUAACCUUGUUGUCUUUUACUUAGAGCACUUCCACCGGGGGUGGGAUAGGCCGGCACACAGCCAAAAAAAUGGCCCGGCACUUAGGGAAGUCUCUCCAGGCCAACCCAAAAUUGACAGACAUUGGGACUGGCCCGUAUGAUGCCAUGCUGACGUCAGGGAUGGAAGGAGCCACAGAGGGAGAAGGCAAAUGGCCUGAAAGUGAUGGCCCGAGUUCGUCGAAAAAUCUGAAGAAAAAAAAAGCACCGACAGCAUGUUUGCAUCAACACAAAGGUUUCCAACAUGAUUUAUAUGUUAGAAACCAUAAGAAUAGGAUUGAGAACUUAACCAGGUGAAAUGCAAGAGAUUUCACUGAGAUUGGACCUUGAACUCAUCGGAGUUGUCCGUUUUCCUUUGUUGGAAUCACAUGCAGGGAAUUAAGCCCUCAAAUUAACCACAAAAAUUGCAACACAACAGGAUUUAAAGCUCAAGAACACAAUACAGUGAUAGAAACAUCACAUGGGUUAGAGAUUGAGAGCUCAAGCUCUCGGCUUUAAUGGUAGGACCUCGCACCAUGCAUCGAUGCCGCAUGCAAGGCCAUGUUGGGUUCCUUGAGCUCUAGGGAUUACAAAAAUAAUAAUUUUUGUUUGAUUUGUUGAAGGUUUUGAAGAGGAAGGAGAAGGAGAACUCACGGGAGUGAGCUGGAAAAGAGAGAGAGAAAGAGAGAGAACUGGUUGGGGAUAUAGUGGGAGAGUAUAGAGGGUAGUGGAACCAUGGAGGUUCCUGACUUCUUUUUUUUUUUAUAAUAAAAUUAUUGUUUUUAUUAUUUUAUAAUAAAUAAUAAUAAUAUUUUAAUAAAAUUGACUAGGCUAUCUUUUGUUAGGGGUGGAGAUGCUUUGGCUUAUUACUGUUCACUGUGGUCUAUUACUAUUCACUUGAGUGGAUAAAUACGCUGGGUGCUGGCGCAAAGUCUUUAGGGGUGGAAUUGCUCUUAUGGUAAACAAAUUUUAACAAAAAAUAUAAUACUACUUAAUAGUCUUGAUUAACUUACUAGUAUUUGUUUUCUGUAUUUAGUACUACAAUUUAAUAGUAUUAUUCUUCACUUGUAAGUGAGAGAUCUUACGUUCGAUUCUCGUUAUAGAAGCAUUCAAAUCACAUUAUUAUAUCUAACCCAAUGUGAGACUUGGUCUACUCUCCUACUCUUUUAAUGUACAUAACGUUCGUUAAAAAAAAAAAAAAAUUGUUUCCUCACGUACUAUGUUUUUAAAUCACGUAGACAAACAAACGUGAUCAAUAAUUUGUCGAAGCCACAUGCGUGCACGUUAAGCUUAGUUGGUUUGAUCUGAAUGUGAUAAUUUUUUGCAGCCAAUCAAAUCAAGAAAUGGCGUUAUCCCUUAGCUUAUAAACUAGCUAGAACUGCCUCUUUUAGACACACUCGCACUCUUCAAGCAAAUAAUAGUAAAAAAAAGUCAUGAGCAAAAACCUAUAAAGCUAAAAACCGCCCUAGGUGCAUGGUACAUAGAUCAAUCAGUGUACCCACAUACAUAUUUUAGUAAUAGGUCAUAAUUUUCACGUUUUGUCUUAAGUGUCUUUGGCAUCCUUUUAUAGUUUUCACGUUUUGUUAGGGAGGAGGGGGAUCGGUGAUAAUCAAACACGCACCAAGAUACAUGAGCAUGAUUGUUUUUUUUCCUAGUGGUUGUGGUAAAACGUCGUAUGCGCAUCCUUUUAUAGUUUGAUAGUGUAAUUAUGUGAAAUGUGAUCUUUGUUAAUGCAUUUGGUUAUGUUAAAUCGUGAAAUAUUCAACAAUAUAUCUGAAGUUUUAUAUCAGAUAUAUGACAAAUAAAUAGAACAUGCAAUGAGGUAGCACUACUAAUAGUAUGAGACAUUUAAUGUGUAAAAUUUCAUGGCAAUAAAAAAAAGUAGAGAAAGAUAUAUUUAGCAAACUAUAUAUAUAGUGAUAUCUGAACUCAGUCUAUUUUCGGCAAUUCGAAUAUUGGCAGACUAAAUCAUCAUUAAUUGGUAUAAUAGAAACUUCAUUUUUUAACUGAAAAUGUGACUUUACCCCUUCAGACUCAAUUUUUUUUUUACAUAAAACCCACAAUAAUAUAUUUUCUAACAAAAACCCGAUGACUAGACUCCACCUAAGCAAAUUACCUAAUCAAGAUUUUGCGUCAUAUUUAAUAUUAUUCGGAUUCCCCAAAUUAGCCUCAAUUAAGUCAUUAUAACAUUUUAUGUUGAUACCAAAAUUAAAAUGGAAAGCUUUUUUUUAUUUUCUUGUAACGCGUGUAAUGGCUUUGAAAUUUUAAUUUUUUAGAGAAGUACGAAACAAAUUCAGAAUACAAACAAACUAAUGAUAGUGUGCAUACUAGGCCUUGAUAAAACCUUGCAAAAAAUUUCACUCCGGUCAAAAGGAAAAGAGUGUCCCGCACAACAUAAAGAACCUAUCCUCAAAUGUCAAUUACAUAAAUUGAUUGGUUACAAGGCUUUGAAAUUUUAAUUGACGUAGGAAUAAAAAUUCAAAACGUUUUGAAUUCGACAAUAAAUUUUCAGAUUAAUGUACCCUGUUGAUUUAAUAAAAACCAUGCUUUUGUUUUCUUUAAAACAAAAGGGGUAAAAAAUGAUGUGUCUAGUGUGUUUGUUUUAUUUUUCGAAUAUCAAUGUACCCUUUUUUUUUGUUUUGAAAGGAUUAGUGUACCUUGACACACCCCGACCUGAAUCAAGGCGUGCUGGCCAUCACGUGAGAAUGACGUAGCCAUGUGCGCAGUGCAAAAGUGAUAGUGAUGCAAAAAUGUGGGUAAAUAAAAACCAAACUAACUAGUUUACACUAGAUACAUACACAAGUGCGAGUAAAGGUGUUUAAAGUAUAGAUACACAUAGCCAGAGCAUAGGUAACCUAGAUGCAGUCCAGCCAGCUAAAUAUUAAUUAUACAAGACAUGAAAGAAAUUCCUACAUUAUUUGAAGUCUAUCAGAACUGUUGUAAGUCCUCGUAAGACACCAACACGAACGUCUAACUAGAACCUGGAGGGGCGCAAAACAAAAAACGUGAGCGGGCAAAAACAAAGCUUUUUGAAACCAUUUCUCUUUCCAAAAAUAAUAACCACUCGCCGUAAAACCCCGUAUGAUUUUCCAGAAAAUAACAAUACAUACGUGUGUAGAAAUCAUGUUUGAGAGCAAUGAAACCAAGUAUAUGCCAUGUCAAGUAUCUCAGUAAUAAAUAUGUAAGCCAGGUGACGUGAAUCAAUAUAAAAUGAUAUGUCAGUCGGAGUCACCUAACAUGACUUGUACGGCUGAACCCAUAGCUCAUAAACCAAUUUUUGCACACGAGUCGGAACCACCUAAUGUGGUAUGUACGACAGGCUAGGUGUAAAUAAUUACGCUCAAGUGCUAUGAUCACGUGAAGGCUGUGCGAUAAAUCACAGGUCACCUACGAGUCGGAACCACCUAAUGUGGUCUGUACGACAGGCUGACACCAAACUUGGAUCCAAGGUGAGCGUACGGUGUGGGAGGUGAAUGAUCACGUGAAGGUUGUGCCCUGGCCUCGGGUGGGAGCACUAACAUGGGGGUGUAGGAUAAUGAGCUCUAAAUGCAUCUACAUAUAACCAUACACAAUGCAACCACUACCAUCAUAUAGUACUCACCUGAAGCUUACCUGGGCCUCCGCAACGUCAUUCAAUAUUAUGCAUAACUAUACUAAUGCAAAUACUAAUAUGUAAUGCAUCCCUGAUAUGGCAUUUAAAACGUAAAUUCAAUUAAAAACAGUUUCUGGGAUCGUAAAGCAUAUAUACGUAUAUAUAGAAAACAAAAGCCCACUCACUGGUAUGUAGCAGGGUCAUAACCCCCGAGUCUCACCUGGCUAUGCUCAUCCUCCCGAAAUGUCUCACCUAAAUGUGAAACAACUAAUUUAACAUUAAUUUGAAAGUACAUAACCAAAACCGUGUAAUAACUUCUCAUACGCUGCUUAAUUGGGGUGUUUGAAUAUAUCAUCGUGGCCUACUCAACACCACGAGCAUCCCCAUAUUUUUAGAAAAAUUUUCAGAUGUCUCACGCGCCCUCACAUGUAGGCCACGCAUAGGCACAUGCUUGGCACGUUAGACGGAAACCCUAACGUUGUUAGGGAAUAUUCCGUUAAAUAGAAGCAUAUUCUGUUAGAUUUACCUGACGCCGUUAGUAUAUUCCGUCAAAGUUGACAGAAUAUUCUUUGUUUUCUCCGGUGGUCUUCUUCGGAGCCGCCGUCUGCAACGCCGGAUUCUGGAAAAUCUUAAAACCUUAAUAUCUCCCUCAAUUCUCAACCAAAAUUCAUGAAUUUUAUAUAGAUUUGAAGCUCUUGAAGUCUAGACACAACCAUACCUAUUUGAAGUCCUAAAACCGACGGAAAACAGCCGAAAAAAUUCUUGGAAAAACUGGCUAACUCUGCAAUUCCAUGAUCAUGCUUAUUCCGACGUCCAAACUUCUCCAAAACUAGUCUAAAAUGUUAGGGAAGUUGAGUGAGUACCUUACUAAGCCUCAAAACCAAGUGAAUCACCCACGAUCACGUCGAAGCUAUUUUAACUCUUCGCCGGAGUUUCUGAAUUCCGGGGUUUUCGAGAUCAACUCACUUAACAAAUGGUACCAUAAGAUUCUAGAGCUCGAGAGAAGUAUGAUUAUAGAAACCUCGAGUUCAAUUUGUAAAGUCUAAUGGUGUAUGAAAAUUGGAGGGCUUGGGUUGUACAGACGAGAGAGAGAGAGAGUUCGAGAAGAAAUAAGAAGGUGAGGGUUGCACGUGUGUGUUUGUGUGUGUGUGGUCACGGGUUGGCCAAUUUAAAAUGGUCUCAAGCUCUAAUUGGGCUAUAGAAUUUAGGGCUUACACAAAAGAGUCCAAAUAGGAAUAAAACAAAUCCAAUCUCACUUAUUCAUCCGUAACAUUUUUGUUACGAACCCGAUUUGGUCCUAACUCAUGUCAACACGCUCGUGACGACAUGUACAAUUUAAUUACAUCAGGGAGAAAAAUAAUUUAAAACUAUAUGCAUACAUCCACGUCACUAAGCCUUGAGGGCAUUAUCAUCACUUUACACUCUCGGGGAGGAAAUAUAUACAAUAAUUUGGGACGGGUCGUCACAUACCUACUUAGUACUAAUAGUUUUGGUCAUUUUGAAAAAUAAUGCACCUGUUAUCAAAUUUUUUAAUCUAGAAAAUAUAGGUAAAUUAAUUUAUAUAGGUAAAUUAGUAUAAGAUUUCAUGCAUGUUUAUCAUGGAUCCGGAGCCUCUAUUAGGUGGCAUAUUGUUAAUAUCUCUCAUAUAAAUAUAUUUAUCAUUUAAAUUAGUGAAUCUACAAAUUAUAGGUAAAUUAAUUUGUGUAGGUAAAUUAGUAUAAUAUUUCAUACAUGUUUAUCUUGCAUCCCAAGCCUCUAUUAGUAGGCAUAUUAUCGAUAUUUUUCAUAUAAAUAUACUUAUUAUCGACAUACUAUUGAUAUUUCUCAGAUAAAUAUACUUAUUAUUUAAUCUACAAAAUAUAGGUAAAUUUGUUGGUAUAAUAUAUUAAUAAUAGAAUAGGGGUUUGUUGCUCAUCAUAAUUAUGGUGAGUUAUGAUAUCCUUUAUUGAAUUAAUUAGGGAGUUGUGGCAUAAGUUGUAAAUAUAUUGUAAUAAUAGGUCACUUAUGUGCCUACAUGUCAGUUUAUUUUAAAAUUGGGUUUUAUUUGGAGAUUUAAAUUUAUGUGGGUUUUUGUUUAUGAAAUGCAACUUGUCCGGGUUUAUAUCUAAAGAACCCUUUUUUUAAUGAACAAGCGGUAUUAUCUGUCCUAAAGAAGUGGGUCAGGCCUUAUAAUGAGCUUAAUAAUCAUUUUGUUUGAAUUCGCUUUUAAUAAGAAUCGAAAUUAAGAUCUUUCAUUUACAAAUAAAGAUAAAUGUCACUAGACCAUAAUAUUAUUUAGUAUAUAAAAACUUAUAUCUAAUAUUUGUAUACUUUUCUAAAAAGAGAAUACAUAUAAUAGAAUGACGAAAAUGUUGUCCAAUUUCCAGAGAAGUGGCUCUAAACAACAUUUCAUAUGCAUAAGAAAAAAUAAAAUACGACGUCGGUAGCAGUUGCUUUCCUUGAUAUUUUAUGUGCUCCAUAAAAGAAAGUACCUCCCUAUAUCAAGCUUUAUAUGCAGUCUUCAGUCAAUUAACUUACUAGUACAGUUAUACAAACCCUAGCCGCAAGAAGAGGAAAACCCAAAGAAAAACUUCCCACCGCGGACCCCAGCUUUUGGCUUUGGGGUCGGUCAUAAUCCUUCUUAAUUUUAUUCUUUUUUUUCCCCAUUUUUGGUAGUGGUCUCACUUUGUCGAGAAGAGCUUUUGAGGUUGUGGUUGUGAUCACUCUUGUUCUAAGGAGGAGAGCUUUUAUAGCAAUUAUGAAUUACUGCUCAACCCUGGAUCUUAAAGUAACAAUUAUUGUUCAAAUCUAAGGUGGUGAUUUCGUAGUUUGUGCACUUGGAAAAGAUUAUGCGGAGGAAGCUCGACAUUUGUUAGAGGUGACUCAUAACAGGAUUUUCGUCAACGAUCACAAGAUCAUCAAAGGAUGGUGCAAUCUUUCCUUCGUGGGGUCGUUGCAGUGGUUCGAGAGAUUUACAAUCAUGUUUUCUUGUCGUUGCAAAGCUUUUAGGUGAUGGUUCACCUUGUGUGUCUUGAUGGUGUUAGGUCCGGCUUGUAGGACUUGGUCCUUUGUGAGCUUAUCUUUCAUGUUGGUUAGGUGCGGGUCUCCCGUGAUUGAUGAAUUGUACUUCUGAGGAUUUUAUUUUAUAUCGUGUCAUUUUUUUUGUUUUGUUUUGCUUGUGGUUUAGUUGUUUGUUCACUUGGCAAAGGACUAUCCGGCUUGUAGGACUUGGUCCUUUGUGAGCUUAUCUUUCAUGUUGGUUAGGUGCGGGUCUCCCGUGAUUGAUGAAUUGUACUUCUGAGGAGUUUAUUUUAUAUCGUGUCAUUUUUUUUGUUUUGUUUUGCUUGUGAUUUAGUUGUUUGUUCACUUGGCAAAGGACUAUAAGGACAUCUUCGUGAUGUCUCAUAGUAGGGCUUCUUAUUCGAAUGAGCGUUGUCUUUUGCAAGUUCAUCCAAAGUAAUGCAUUGUUUUGUCCUCUUGAGCGUUAUCCUUCUAUUUGGUUAAAUGUGAUUUUGUGGAGUAGAUUUUGUAUUGUCUUUCUCUUGCGUUGAAGUACUUAUUACCUGAAAAAAACCUUACUAGUACAAUUAAAUCUGCUCUAUGUUAACUUGUUGAUUUAGCUAUCAAUAAUAGUUAUUAUUAUUUUAUUGCAUAACUUUUUAAAGAAGAAUUUUAUUGAUAAAAUAAAGGAAGACUCUGUGGACUAAUUAUUAACCCUUGGACUAAUAUCAUAUACUAAUCGAAUUCAAAAGACAAAGGAAGACUUUGUGGGAUCCAUUCAAAAGAUAAUAGAAAACCACAAAGUAUAACAACAUUAUUUUCCGAUUUCAUACUUUACCCUUUACAUCCACUUAUAUGAGCUCCACAAAGCUGCUUUGGGCCUUUGAUCCUUGGUUGUAGAAGAGAAAAGCUUAUGCAUUAAGCAAAACCUUUUUCAAAAUACAUUUUGGGGAAAUAAAAAAAAACUUUUUUAAAAUUGACUUUAUUGGUAAUUGGCGGUUAGAACUGUACAGUAACACUCUCGUACAUUUUUACACUAAUCUAUACUAGGAUGAAAGAAAAUGGUUUGAAUAUGAGAUGUAGUGGAUUGAAGAAGAAAACCUUUACCACUAGGAAAAUUCAUCACUUACAAUAAUCUUGUACAUUUAAAAUUAACUCUUGUAAGUUGAACAUUUACCAUUGAACUUAAAUCCGAGUUGAUUUCCUCUCUCCUACUAUCUAUUUGUAUAAAAACUCUUAAUCAUUUAUAACUUAUCAUAUCUCACACUAUAAAUAUAUUAUUGGAAACACAUAAAAUUUGGAUCUACCGGUUAUACAGAUUCAUUUUCAGCAUUUACGCCUUUAAUAAAACCACUCAUAAUUUGUCACCAUUGAUUUUUGCCUUCCUUAUAAUUUUUCACCACUGAUAUGAUUCGUAAAAGAUAAAUUGUAUGAAAGUCAAUUAUUAUGUAAAUGAAAUAACUUACGAUGAAAUAAGAAUUAUAUUACAAGUGAAAAAAAAAAGACAAACUAGGAGAUAUUAUAUUUUUUGGAUCGUCCAACACCUAUGUAUUGCAACAGUAAAUAAAAUAAAUAGGUACACCGAUAUAAUGAUAUUUCCAUUCAUAACACAUCAACGUAGCUCAUUUAUAACACAAUGAAUCAUUUAACGUAAGAUUAGUUGUAGAAUAAGAACAUUAAUGUAUAUGUGUACUUCCACCAUCUAAAUAAUUAUCAUGUAUUGGACCCCGGGUCUUAUAUUUUGUAACCUACUUCACACGACACAUUCACAUUUUCCAUCGAUGAAGACAGGUCUUUUGACUUUUUGGAUAUCAAAACGACUUUGAUUCUAUCUUAAUUAAUCAACUUGUCUUUUUAUAGUCGAUUGUUUUGUGUCCUCAUGUUAUCUUCCUUGUCCUCACAUGUGCCAUUUGCUUGUUUUAGAGAAAAAUGAAGCAAUAUUUUAUGAAUUUUGAUUGAAUCGGAGUUUUGAUUUCUAAACGAAACAUUUGUGAGUAUUGAUCCUAAAAUUUGUUAUAAUAUAGAAUAAUAGUCAUUUUUAUUAAGUCUAUUAAUUUUUUUAUCCAUAAUAAAAGGUUUUAAAAGACAAAAAAAUAGAUAAAUAUUCUAACGUAGAUAACCAAACGAACAAUUUCUCCUUGUUAUUAUAGUUUAGCCAACAAUAUUUAUGAAUUUUUAGUUUAGGAAUCAAACUCUAACUGUGCUAAAGUUGUGGAACAAUAUUUCUAGUUCUACAUACUUUAGUAGGUGAAAUCAUAACACUGUUAUAAUUUGUACUUUUCCCAUAAAUGACCUAAAUUAUAUGGGUUAAGUUUAGCGUAGCUAAAGUACUAAUAUCUAUUGUAAUAAAAAAAAUAGUUCUGCCUGCUUUUAGUAGGUGAAAUUAGAAUACUCUUACAAUUUGUAUUUUUUUUUUCUUGUAACUGACGUAAUUUGAAUUAUGUGGAUGAAGUGUCCACCUAAGAUGUUAAAAAGAGAACACACUACUCUUGCUAACUUGAUUAGAUACGUCUGGAAAAACAUUCAACAAUCUUUUUAGUGAUACAGCUCAAAUUUUCAUAUUCAAUAUACUCAACUCCUACUCUACAUGCAUUAUGUGUGACAAACUAAUUAUAAGCAUAACUUACAGUUAAGCAACUUAUACAUAUAUUAGAACAAGUUAUAAGUAAGAGAUUUUAAAUUUGAUUUUUAUAUUUAGAUUAUUGGUUUAUCAAUUAUCUUUUUUAUUUCUCGAUGAAUAUAGUUGUAUAAAAUACAAAAUCGCUUAGAAGAUGUGUCUACGAUGAUGCAUAUUACUCAAAGGUAAAAGUUUAUACAAAAAUUAACUGCUAUAAAAAUUGUCACAUCCCGGCCCGAGCCCCCACCACAUCCAGGACUCGACUUCACCGUAGCACGAUAUUGUCCGUUUUGGGCCCCGACCACGCCUUCACUGUUUUGUUUCUGGGAACUCACAUGAGAACUUCCCAGUAGGUUACCCAUCAUGCGAUUGCUCUUACAUGAACUUGCUUAACUUCGGAGUUCUGAUGGAACCCAAAGCAAAUGAGCUCCCAAAAGGCCUCGUGCUAGGUAUGGAUGGGAAUAUACAUAUAAGGCUUACAUGAUCCACUUCCCUGGACGAUGUGGGAUGUUACAAUCCACCCCCUUAGGGGCUCGACGUCCUCGUCGGCACACUUCUAGCCGGGGAUUGGCUCUGAUACCAAAUUGUCACAUCCCGCCCCGGGCCCCACCACAUCCCGAGCUCGACUUCGCCGUAGUACGAUAUUGUCCGCUUUGGGCUCCGACCACGCCCUCACGGUUUUGUUUUUGAGAACUCACACGAGAACUUCUCAGUGGGUUACCCAUCAUGAAAUUGCUCUCGCGUGAACUCGCUUAACUUCUAGGUUCCGAUGGAACCUGAAACCAGUAAGCUCCCAAAAGGCCUCGUGCUAGGUAGAGAUGAGAAUAUAUAUAUAUAUAAGGCUUACAUGAUCCACUCCCCUAGGCGAUGUGGAAUGUUACAAUAGUUCCGAUGGAAUCCGAAGCUAGUGAGCUCCAAAAAAGCUUCGUGCUAGAUAGAGAUGAGAAUAUACAUAUAAGACUUACAUGAUCCACUCCCCUGGACGAUGUGGGAUGUUACAAUUCACCCCUCUUAGGGGCCCGACGUCCACAUCGGCACACUUUUGGCCAUGGAUUGGCUCUGAUACCAAAUUGUCACAUCCCAACCCGAGCCCCACCACAUCCUGGGUUCAACUUCGCCGUAGCACGAUAUUGUCCGCUUUGGGCCCCGACCAUGCCUUCACGGUUUUGUUUCUGAGAAUUCACGCUAGUAGAACUUCUCAGUGGGUCACCCAUCCUGGGAAUACUCUUGCCCAUUUCUCGCUUAACAUUAUAAGAUCCCACAUCGCCAAGGGGUGAGGAUCAUGUAAGCCUUAUAUGUAUAUUCAUAUCUCUACCUAGCACGAGGCCUUUUGAGAGCUCAUUGGCUUUGGGUUCCGUAGGAACUCUGAAGUUAAGUGAGAAAGGGGCAAGAGCAUUCCCAGGAUGGAUGACCCACUAGGAAGUUCUGCUCACGUGAGUUCCCAGAAACAAAACUGUGAGAGCGUGGUUGGGGCCUAAAGCAGACAAUAUCGUAUUACGGUGGAGUCGAGCCAAAGAUAUGAUGGGGGUCCGAACCAGGAUGUGAAAAAAAUUCAUUAGAUCUAUAUUCAAAAUUUAAUUGUUAGUUUUUGAAUUUUUGCAAAAUGAGCCCGAAGUUCUAAUUUUGUAAUCACACAACGUGAUUUUUUAUUGUACCAGUUUGAUUUUUCCGAUAACUUUAUUGUCUAUUUAAACAUUAAGGGUUAAUAGUCUUGACUAACAUUUUAAGUACCUGUUCUUCAUCAGUUUCAAUAUUUAGUACUUUUCAUUUUACUAUUUUAACCCUUUUAUGAAAUUGAUAGUCAACGUCAUAGUCCAAUAUAUAGCACGUCAGUAGUUAAUGUUUAAUUAGACCAUGAAACUGAUAGAAAUGUAGAUUGAUGCAAUACAAAAAUCACAUAGGAUAGAAAACAGAAAGUCACUUAGUAUUACGGUCUAGUAGUAUUCUUCUUUACUUGUAAAUGAGAGGUCCUAGGUUCGAUUAUCCCCAAAAGUAAAUUUAAAUUAUAUUAUUACUAAUUCAUUGUAAGAUUAAAAAUACCUUUAUUUUUUUAAUAUAGAUAAUAUCAUUUAUUUAACAAAAAAAAUUACAAAAAUUAAAAUCUACCGACUCUAAAAUCUUCGAUUGUGAAAUGCAGGUCAACCAAUAUAUCACCUUAAAUUUCUGGGAAAGAGAUCCAGCCACGUGCAGUCCUUUUAAUCCGACGUGUAGAGGCACACAACUGGUUUCACCGCGGUAAGCCCAAAUAUAAUUAAACAGUAAAAAAAAUGAGCAGUAUUGCACACGGUGCAGCCUAGAAAACAAACAAACGUGUCGAGAUCAGAAGGGGGUGAAAACAUCAAUCACGACAAAAGUUGUUUGACUUUUGUGAAAUUAAAGAAGCGGUCGUCGACCAAAACGCAUCCAAACACUCAACUAAACGACAAAGCGACAUCGUAAUCCUCGUUCGACGGUGUGCCUAAGAACACCCGAAUCCCGACACGUGGACCGAUUAACCUCCGUGUCUGUAAUCAGAAACUUGAACAGAAAGUCAUGGCCUACUCAGAUUAAUCCCCUGCUAUCCACUAAUUAAACUCGAUUAAAUAUCUAAUUUUUUAUUAUCACUUUCUCAGCAUCUCCCAGUCUCCUGAAAAGUUAGUGACAAAGCGGCAGAGCAAAGACUCUGCCUUAAACUCUCUCUCCUCUCUCUCUCUCUCUCUCUCUCUCUCUCUAGAAUCUCGAUUAACAAUCUCACUCUGUUCUUCAGCAGUCUUAUAAAACCCUGCAAUUCUUUCCUGUUCUGGUUUCUAGUUAGCUGAAAUCUCAAUAGGUUUUCUCAGAGAGUAGCCAAUCAGCUCAGAAACACCCAAAAACCAGCUGAAAAUUUUGGGUUUUGGUCAAAUUUGCAGACCAGGAUUUGGAUCAAUUUUUGACUCUUGUAAAAUUCGGGUUUCUUUUCCUCGUCCUUGCAGAUAAAUCUGAGAGCUGAGAGAGAAGCUUUUAUUUUACAGGCUGGGGUUCUUAAAUGAUUGUGUUUUCUGGGGCAGUGUAAGCUUUGGUCAGAGACCCAUCAGGACAGAACUGGUAGGUGGGCAUAGAAAAACAAAAGAGAGGACCUUGACUAGUAGAUGAGAGAGAGAGAGAUGUAAUCAAAACCCUAGAAAAUGAAAACUUUGUACCUACAAACACGUCCUUAGUUUUAAGAUUAAAACCCAAGUGGUAGAUUUUUGCUUUUUGUCCUGCAGAUUGGAAGUUCAAAAAAAUAAAAGAGGAGAAAAUCAAAAUUUCAGCUCUGAUGCCGACCGACCUAGAUAAUUCCUCUACAGCUUCAGGUGAAGCUAGCGUUUCUUCCUCCGGCAACCAAACCGCUCCUCCCAAACCCGCCACCAAGAAAAAAAGAAACUUGCCAGGAAUGCCAGGUGGCUCAAAAUUUAAAAAUCCCAUUUUUCUUCUUCUGAUUUUUCAUGUUUUGUAUGGAUUAGUGAUUGGAUUUCUGGGUUAAUUUGACUUCUGGGUUUUGUUGCAGAUCCAGAUGCGGAGGUGAUUGCUCUAUCGCCGAAGACCCUUAUGGCGACGAACCGAUUCGUCUGCGAAAUUUGCAGCAAAGGGUUUCAGAGGGAUCAGAAUCUGCAGCUUCAUCGGCGCGGCCAUAAUCUGCCAUGGAAGCUGCGGCAGAGGUCGGGCAAAGAGGUGAAGAAGCGAGUCUACGUCUGCCCGGAGGCUUCUUGUGUACACCACGAUCCGUCCAGAGCUUUGGGUGAUCUCACUGGGAUUAAAAAGCACUUUUGCAGAAAGCACGGUGAGAAGAAGUGGAAAUGCGAUAAGUGCUCCAAGAAGUAUGCGGUUCAGUCGGAUUGGAAAGCCCAUUCGAAAAUUUGUGGCACCAGAGAGUACAAAUGCGAUUGUGGGACUUUGUUCUCAAGGUUUGAUAAUGAAUGAAACUUCGAUUUUGUCUUAGGAUUUUAUGUGUUUUUUAGAUUAAUUUGUUGGGUUUUUUUAUUGGAUUGGUAAAGUUUUUGGUUUUUGGUGUUUGAAGGAGGGAUAGCUUCAUAACUCACAGGGCCUUCUGUGAUGCUUUGGCGGAAGAGAGCGCCAAAGCUCAUACCCCCACCGCCACCGCCGCCGCCGCUACAGCAGUGAAUUUGAAUUCAGAAUCAGACCCAAAAACCCAAUCUGCUAAUUCACCUCCACAAGCACCACCGCCGCCGCCGCAGGCAGCAGCUCCACCUCAGCCUACAACUUCAUCAGUUCCAUCUGUGUCAGCCGGUGUGCUAUCUUCAUCCCUGCCUGCACAAAGUACAGGUAAAACAUGUCCAAAAUUGGCAAAAUAUCAAUCGUUUCUGUUGGGUUUUGUCGGAAGUGUGUUUAGUCUAAAACAAACAACAAAAUCUAUGUUGUGUUUAUUGUUGUUGUUUUAUUAUGUUGUGUCUCUUGCUAUGGAUCUUGGAGUUUAGUAAUUUUUGUCUGUUACGAAAUUUGUUUUCAGUAGGUUAUGUAAUCACUCGCAGUAUGACAGUAUUGGUAACUUGAUCAAAGAUUUGAGGGAAUUUAACAAAUUAAUUAAAAAUUAAGGUUCCUGGAGAUUUCUAUUAAACUUUUAGUGAUUCAAAAGCUAAAAGGGGAGGAGUAAAUGCUGGUUUGGUAUUGCUGUGCUUUGAAAAAAAAAACUGUUUCUGCUGUGAUGUGAGAAUAACCUUAUUUCUGCUGCUUCACAUUUUCAGUUUUUUUUCACCCAAAACUGUGAAAAUAAGCUGUUUUUAAGUGUUUACCAUACACAUUUUUGAGCUCAGUUUUUUUAAAUACCCAUUUUUUAUAAAAGCACUUAAGUACCAAACCAGUACUAAGUAGGAUUAGAGAAAGGACACCAUUAUUAAUCCUCCUUUUCCUUCAAAAGUUAUUUCAUAAAGAAAGGUCUUAACUUUCUGUUCCUGCAUUUUUAAGUGACCCCUUUAAUUUACAUCCUUUUCUCCUUUUGUUGUUGUAGUGAGAGAGUUGCCGGAAAAUCCCACACAAAUUGUAGAAGAAGCACAGGUUGUGGCGGGUCGAAAGGGUAAUCGUAGCAGCAGCAGCAGCUCCAGCAGCAAUGGCAGUACAAGCAGUGGUGUGUUUGCAAGUUUAUUUACUUCCUCAACAGCAUCGGCCAGCUUGCAACCUCCUCAACAGCCUGCAUUUACUGACUUAAUACGAGCCAUGGGGCAUCCGGAUCAAUCAAACGACCUAGCCCCAUCUUCUUCAAUGGAGCCUAUUUCUCUUGGCCUCUCAACCAGCCAUGGAUCCUCAAUUUUCGAGUCUGCAGGGCAUGAGCGUAGGCAGUAUGCGCCUCCGCCACAACCAGCUAUGUCUGCAACAGCUCUGCUUCAGAAAGCUGCUCAAAUGGGCCCAGCAGAAACCAAUGCAUCGUUGCUUCGUGGGUUUGGCAUUAUGUCAUCCGCAUCAUCUUCCGCGCAACAAGAGACUAUGCAAUGGAAUCAAGGGCCGGCAGAACCAGAUAAUGCUGCAGUUGCUGCAGGGCUUGGACUUGGUCUUCCUUGUGAUGGAGGUUCGGGAUGGAAGGAAUUAAUGAUGGGAAGUCCUUCAAUGUUCGGUCCCAAGCAAACCACACUUGAUCUUUUGGGAUUGGGAAUGGCCGCCGGUAACAACCCCAGUAGCGGCCUAUCAGCCCUAAUUACAUCAAUCAGUGGCGGUCUAGAUGUGGCAGCCGCAGCUGCAUCCUAUGGAGGUGGAGAAUAUAGCGGUAAGGACUUGGCUAGAAGCUCAUGAAAUUGGACAAUUAAAGUAGUCAUUUUCUUACAUUUGACUCGAGGAAGGGGCGUACAAGGUGCAGGUUGAUCUCUUAUAAGGAAAAUUGAUGAUGUUGCAGAAUGAAGUAAGACAUGCAUAACUAAAUGAAAGAUUAGCCAUCAUAGGCAUGGAGGUAAGCAUUCUUUUUUAAUGUUCUCCUGCCUCGGUGACUAGGGCGAAACGACCUUGUCUUUCUGCUGUAGACUUUGUUGAAAGCUAAAUCCGGGGAUCGUUUCAUGUUUCGUCCCUCUAUUGUUUAACUUGGGGGUUUUAGCACAGGCUUCCAUGUAUGUAUGUCACUUUCUGUUAGCUUAAGGUGGCUUUGGUGAAUGAAUAUGUGUACCUGCUGCAAUUCUUUAAUUUUGUCAAGUUUCUCAAGCAUAGCCUGGCGAUGAAAGGCUCGCUGGAUGGAUUUUACCAAUUUGGGUUUACAGUACUAUGCCAGGUAAGGGUAGAUGGAUUAGGGGUUUGGGGUUGAUCUUGUAAAUUACUGUGUGAUUAGCCUGUAGUUUUAGGGUUCCUAGACUUGCUCAAACCUCCAAUUUCCAUCACUUUGUAUGUACAAUUAAAUUAAGAUUAAGUUUUUUGUUUUCUUUUAUAUAUAAUGUAUUUUAUUUUGGCUGGCAUGUUGGAUUCUGUUGGUGCAAGAGUUCCAAUAUUUCAUGGUAUGAGAUGUCACGCUAACAGUGUCAUCGUGCUUUGGAAGUUGUUCUUUGUUAGCGCAUGGCGGGAUGAGAUUUUGGUUUUUUCAAUUUUAGAAAUCACAAGAAAUUUGUGCGUGUGCGGUUUUCCAUAAUUGUACGAACGCAUCUAACAUGGUCCCCAAAGACUGAAAUUGAAUGGGGUCUUUAAAUAUCUUGAAAAUGGUCCUGUGUUGUGCAGUGCAUAAAUUAGGAUCUUUAUCUCUCUCUCUUUUUUAUUUUUUAACAAAAAAAUCAUUUAACUCGAGUUUAGGUACUAAAAAAUCAGUCAUUUUUUCUAGAGUUUCAGUCAACAACAUUUGGCUCGAUAUUGUUUCAAGUGUGAACAAUACAUGCUUUGAUUUGAAGAAACGAUUGAUGCAAUUCUAAGUUACUGUUAAAGGAUAACAUUCAUAUGUAACUCUAUUGCGGGAUGCUUUUUAUUUUUUAGAUCGGGUUGAAAGCUCCAGUAAAAUCUUAUUUACACAUACAUACACUUUGUAUGUAUAUGUCUUCUAAUCCUUCGAAUGGGAAAUAAUUUAUUGCGGUCAGAGGAUAUUGUUCGAGUCAUAACUGUUGCAACAAUGACCUCUGCUUGGAUCACAAAGGGUUCAAUGCAAACCUUGCACUUCCCGGACGGUAAAAAAAAAUGCUACCUAUAAUUUUGACAAAACUAAAGUUCAGUAGACCUGUAAACUCGACCCGAUAAGCUAAUGGGUCAUCCGAAUCCGACUCGUUUCAUCCGUUAACAAUAUUUUUUAUUAUUUUUUUGCAUAGAGUUUAUUUUUUGUUGUUAAGACUCUAUUGGAAUUACUAAAACAUCCUCAACUAACGGGUUGACCCAAAAUGACCCGUUAUUUAACGCAUUCAUCCGUUAGCGAUCCAACCCGUUAAGCAUCCACCCAAAUAUUAAUAUUAAUAGGUCGGGUCGGGUCCAAAAUGCCAGGUCUAAAGUUCAGGCUGGUAGACCUGAAAUCGGUAGAAACUAGGGAUGAGCAAAUACCCAUUGGUUAUGGGUAACCGCGGUUACCCGCCCAUUUAAAUUAAACGGUUACGGUUAUGGGUAACCGUUUAGAUAAAUAAACGGUUAUGAGUAUAACCGUUUACCCGUGAAAUUUAAAUGGACGGUUAUGGGUAUUAACCGCGGUUAUAAACGAGUAACCAUUUACCCAUUUAUUUUUAUAUAUGUAAAACUAACACAAACCAUAUUCUCGUUCCAAUAAUACUUAGCACCCAAUAAAUUAGCAAGGAAUUCAUCGGUCAUUUUCUCAAUAACACUGCUACAGAAAUGAUGAUUCUCAUCAUCAAGGAAUUGGCCAAAUUAAUUUAAAUUUCUUGCGGGUAACCGUGAAAUUGACAGAAAUGCUUUGACAAAAAUGUCUUCUAAACAAUUUUUGUAACCCAAUAAUACUUAGCAAAUAUUAUAUUUACCUUCAUUGGUAACAGUUAAAAAUAUCGUCCGUAAACUAUUAUUUCAAUUAUUGAAAUGGUAUAAGGACUUAAAAAAUUAAAAUAUGGAAAUGUAUGAUGAAUGUACCUAUAAUGGUGUUUAAUUGUUAAAAAAAAAUUUAUGACAAUUUUGUUUUAAUUUCAAGUUGUUAAAAAACAUGUAGACGGGUGAAAAAUGGGUAAUGGUAAAAAAAAAGAAACAUAAACGGUUAAAAAGGAUAAAUGGGUAAACGGGUAUUAAACGGUUACGGUUAAAUGAGUAUGCGGUUAUGGGUAUGGUUAACCGUUUAUAAACAGUUAUGAGUAUGGGUAUAACUGUUUAGGCAAUUAUCCAACGGGUAAACGGUUAUACGGGUAUAAGCAUAAACGGUUAUGGGUAAAUAACCGUGGUUACCUGCCCGUCUUAAUCGUUGCCCAUCCCUAAUAGAAACCUUUGCACACAUAUGUAACUUAUGUCAAAGUGAUGUGAAUAUGUACCGGACAGGAUUCUAGUUGCAAACGAUGGAUGCUAGAUGAUGUGUGUAUCGGUCGAUGUAGUGCUAGUUGUAACUUACGCAUCCAGUCACUAGGAACUCUAUGAACAACUUUCACGAGAACUUUUUUUAUUUGGUUGAAACGUUCACACGAAUGAAAUUCACUAAAGUAUGAACAGGAAUGGGUCAUCACCGGAAACCAAAACCACAAGAUGAUCUUGCAUAUCGUCAGAUAAUAGGGUUAGGCAAGUUCCGUCUGCAUCACAAUCUGUAUUGAGAUUUGCUGUCGACAAAAGCUUGAAUUGAUGGUUUUCUCCCAAGAAAGUCAGUUAACAGUUGAAUGGGUUCCCUUGAUCCUCCUGGGGCCAGUACCUUGUUUUUGAACUUCAUGCCAUGACAUUUGUUAAGAUCUUAACUCUCAUGAAACUUUGAAGCAUAUAUAUCAGCAGCAAAAACCUCACUCCAAAUACGGCUGUGACAAGUGGCUUCGUACCAUUGGCACUAGUUGGAACGCUGAGCUGGAUCGACAUCGUCCAACAACUUAGGAGAUAUGUUGGACCCCGUGGUCAAACUCAUGGAAAAGAUUCACAACUUGGGAGAAUCUCAGUAGUUUAGGUAACGCCACUAGAAUCUGUCGUCAUCCAUUCUUCGUUGAUAAUGCACCAUUUGAAGAGCCACCACACAGGUAUGAUUAUAUUUUCUUUCUCUUGUGUAUAUAUCAGGGUAGAAAUGACCCAAAGUUCACCGAAACUUGAGUUGACGCAAACAUCAGAAUGCCAAGCCUCAGCAUCUUCAAUUUCUUUAUAUCCUAAACCAAAAAGGUAUUGCACUAUCUUGAAUACCCCAGAUAGAACCAAAUUUACUGGAAAGUAUUGUUUCUGAGCUCCGAGGUCCACGUUAAACUGCUGUGCUUCAGCCUUGUUGACAUAAUAUGGCAGAUCCUCAAUUCCAAACGAAUGGUCUCCUUCCUCUUUUCUCUUCAAAUCUGGUAGCCAAGUCGGUUAAACAAGGAGAUGACCUCUAAGAACUCAAAAAACCUUUGAGGGUGCCUCUGCCUUUCUAAGAUCAACUGCAUAGUCUGCAUAACUUGAAUAGCCAAGUAACCGAGCAAAUUUAUGGCUCAUUUGGACCAAAACUUCUAAGAUAAAACAAUCAAAUUCUCCACCCCUCUUUCCAUAGGCCACCGCUACCAUCCUCCUCCUUGUUCCAGCCUCACAAAGUUCAAGUACAGCUGCCAAAUGAUGACUUUUCAUGGUCACCUUGAAUAGUUACCAUCUGCAAUUUUGCCUAAGCUCUUAAGAAACUCUGAUGGUAACCCGGCCAACACAGCCUCGGUGAAGAGAAGAAAACUACCGUCCUCAUUUAAGUUUUGAACAUACAGCAAACUCAGCUCAUCGAUUUGGACUCUCGCGCGCCGCAUUUCCUCCGUCUUAGUUAACGUAAGAUUUAUUCUGUUGCGUUCAAACUCUCUCAUCAAAGGCCUGAGUUCAGUGCUUUGCUUCAGCAUUCACCCACUCCUUUCCAGCAUCAAAACAAAUAUGGACUCGGCCUUGGACACGUUUUUACACAAGUCGGGUCCAACUUGGACCGCUUUGAAAAUUCAAAGAAUUGGAUGGGAUAGGAACCCCAGUCUAGAUCCACGAGUCCAAAGACCCGUAUGACCAACCGCAAACAAUCACAACUAUUUUUUGGCGCGGAUGACAAGUAUUGCAUGAAUAAUAGUGUCAUUCAACGUACUCAGUGGCAAGUUAAGUCUUACUCAAGUUUUUCUCAACUAAACGGAAGAUUUAUUUAUUUUUGCUCAAAUUUUUAUUUGAUCAGUGAAUGGCAAGUUAAGUCUUAAUCAAGUUUUUCUCAACUAAACAGAAGAUUUAUUUAUUUUUACUCAAAUUUUUAUUUGAUCAGCGAAUUACGUUUGUUGUGUUUUUUACUAAACUCUCUUGUACUCACCAAACCAAUGUUUUUUAAGUUGGAUAUUCCUCAAACCGCAUGAUUCCACUUAUAUUCCUCAAACCGCAUGAUUCCACUUCCCAGUCGCUUUCUUAUACGGGAUGACCCCAUGUUUGGUCUAAAUCCUGACCAGACAAGGAUAAGUUUUUAUAAUUUUAAUGUGAAACAAUAUUUAUGUAAAAGAUGAAUAAAAAUAAUUAAAACUAAGGGUAGUUCAGAUUAAAAAUUAUUGAAUCGUUAAUGUUUAAAAGUGAUAUUGAGUUCAAUAAUUUGAUUAAUUAUCAGAUGAAUAGAUUGCUGGUCACUUUUAAUUAAUUCAAUAAAUUGGGACCAAACAUGGUCAAUCAUGGAAGCAAAAAAAUAAUGACAGACGGGUCAUAUUAGCUUCGAUUGGCGAUAAGCCAAGUGAUAAUUAAAUAAGAUUUAAUUAUUGUAAACCAAAGUACCCCAAAUAAAAUAAUUGGGUAUGAUUUAUAACGCAGGAAUGCCAAAAAUUGGCAUUGGGUAGAAAAAGGGUUGCGGCCCAGCCUUAUUAGGCAAGCUGCAGUCUACAGACAGGCCUUGCAGCACGGUUGCAUACCUUAUGGGCCUCGGGGAGGCUACAGGCCUCAAGGCCGUGGGUUUGGGGUGAGCCCAGCAGCAAGGGCUGUUGGUUUUGGCCAAAAAGGAGUAAGGGAUGCCCGCCCAUUCGAAGGCUGGUUUGCGGGUUGGUGCGGAAAUCCCAACCAAAGCUGGUUUUCGGGUUUUUAAGUUGAUAGAGGCAAGCCCAGCAGCUCUAAGGCUGUUGGCAGUCUGGGCUAAGUGGUGAGCGAAGCCCAGUAAGCUUUUGGCUUGUUGCAGGUGGGCCUAAGGCACAUACUGGACCCAACAAGAUGCAGGCUUGUUGUAGGGUGGGCCGUGACACGGGACAAAGCCCAUCAACACACGAGUUGCUAGUUUUUGGGCCAUAGGCGUGAGGGUGGAGCCCAGCAAACGGCUGCAGGCCGUGCUGGAGGUUGGGGCUGCAGGCCCAAUCCAAACCAAUCCUAGGCCAGAGGCUUGGUUGUUCUCGCACGCAGCAAGCCCAUAGGGCUACUGCCUUGGUCCAGAUGUCAAAACGACAUCGUCCUGGUGGCAUGCUCAAUGUGGCUGGGCUACAGGUAGGGGUGGGCAUAAAAACCGCCAAAUAGGAAAAUUGAAUCAAACUGUGACAAAAAAACCGUAAAAACCCGUGUUGACCAAAAAAGUCAAAAUCGGAACAAAAAUCGAACCAAACCGUUUCAAACGAUUCCGGUUCCAGUUUGGAAAUAUUAAGAACCGAAGGAACUGGACCGAACCAUUUUUAAUAUAAAUGAUUUUUUUAUUAUUAUUUUUAUGUGCAUAAGCUCAAUAUUUUUCUUCACUUCUCUCCCAUUCCUUUGUUGUUUUAUCACUUUUCUCCCCCUACAUUAUUUUUCUCCAUUCUUUUUCAAUAUAUUAUGCAUUAUGUACAUUUUAGUUUUAGUUUAAGAUCCACACUUUGGUCUUGAUAUGAACCUUUUUAUCUUUUGAUUUAUAUUUAUAUGCACACUUUCUAUCUUCCGGUCACAAAUCUUGUAGAUCUAGUAGUGGAAACUCAAAUUUACUUGAAUUUAUGGUUGAAAUAUGUGUUUGGUAUUAGAAUUUGAAAAUUAGAAAAAACAUAUAUAUAUAUAAUUUUGGUUAGAACCGUAAACCGGCGUGAACCGAACUGUCAUGAAACGUAUAUAUAUUGGAAGGAAAUUAUAAAUAUAGAGGUUUAUGCAUCAUGGAGAAUCUUUUCAUGUUUCGUGGACAUUUCAAAUAUCUUACUUUAUUUUAAGAGUAUCUAAUUGCCAUAAAAAAAAAAGCCUUUGAAUUUUGUAGAAGAAAGCCUCCUCCACAAUCCUUCAGUUCCUUAGCUCUUGGUAAGAGUGUGUUGAUAACAUGUUGUAUGCCUAAUUUACUGAACUAUUAUAAGGGAAUAGGGAGGGGGAGACCGGUGGUCAGAGAGAGAAAGAGAGAUUUAAUUGUGAGGUGUGUAUUAUAUCACAUCAUUGUGUCUUUAUUUAUAUUAGUAUGAUAUGUUAAAUCCUAACUCUAAUAGGAUUAUAACUCUGAUAGGAUAAUAUCUAAUCCUAUAGAAUGUUCCAAUAUAUCCCUAGAUACACUAGAAUUUACAUAAUCACAUUCAUAAUCUAAUAUGACUGCAAUAAUAUUUACAUUAAGGAGGUGAAUUUGCGCUAAAUCACACAAUAGGGCGGCCAUAAUAAAUUUGUAUUAAUUUCGUCAUUCAUAAGGGUUAAACUUAAAAUAUCUUACUUACAAGUAAGGACAAAUAACAUUUGUUUAUAUGCCCGGGAGCAAUGCUCCCGAAAUAAAGAAACGGCUAGCCCGAAAGCUCUCAAACGCCCGCCGUUGAAACUGGUCCUCGAGUUGUUGUGUUAGGCAGGUUCAACCAUGAUUCUUUUUAAUUCUCACAAAGAGUUGGAAGCUUGGUGAAAACACCAACACCAUCCUAGGAAAGUCCUCUCUACUUUGUAAUUAAAAUCAUUAAGUAAUUAGCAAAAGAUUUAUUUUAACAUUGAAGUGAACAAAAGCCACAGUCUAUCCAAAUUCGUAGUGUUUUUUUGGUACCAAAAUUCAAACAAUCGAACUAUUUAGGACAAGUGGUUAUAGCUCAGUUGGUUAAUAUAAUUUGCUCUUCAUUCAAAGUUUCGUGUUUGAAUUUUGGGUUAUAAAAGUUUUUUUUUAAUAUAACAAUGUAUUUGUAUUAAAGGGUGAGAGAUUUGUACUAAGGCACAUAAUAGGCCAAGAUUUUUUAUGGUGCUCCGAUGUAUUGGAUAAUUCAAAAUUUUCAACCAUUAGAUCUUUGGUCAAGUAUACAAAGGUAACGGCUUAAAAAUUUGAAGUAGCCUUUAUUAUGGAGCACCAAAAUUUUUGCAAUUGGCCAGCCAUAAUACUAAACAUAUAUUAAGUGUGCAUUAUUAGGAUACCAAAACAUGUUUUAUUACCUACUAGUAGUUUUUAGGCCUUUUACAGUAGGUUGAGUGAUUGUGAUACUUAUUUAUAGGAAUCAAGCAACCUGAAUUUGAAACGUAUAACACUACUGCUACACUAGUGUGAGUUAAAUAUAUUUACAUCACACUCAUGAGUUUAAUAUAUUGAACUACAAGUUCUAUAUAUUAGUAUCACACUUAAAUUUUUUGGUUCACUAUAAGAGUAUGAUUCUUAUAUGAGUUUAAUAUAUUGGGAUUAUACUCACUUCUUCUGGCCUACUGUGGAAGAAAAAAUUUACUUUUGUUUAUCGAUACUAUUUAAUAGUAUUGUUUGUCAUUUAUAAGUGAAAAGUCUAAUAUUAGGUGGAUAAUACAUAGAUACUCACCAGUGAGAUUCACCUUUUGAGUUUUGUCCAAUGAUAAAUAACACAUGUUUUGUUGUUUUAAAAAACAAUGAACAUCUCAUUAAUUUUUCUUGGGUUUUAAAAACGAAGAAACACAUUAAAUUUAUAGAUUUUUUUAAAUAAACGAUAUUAUUUACAUUAAGUAAGAAGGGGUGGAUUUAGCCUCAUAAUAGGUUAGCAAUAAUAUGGUUAAAAUUUGUUUUUAGCGAGAAUCGAACCUAGCACCUCUCACUCACAAGUGAAGAAUAUCAUUAGAUCCUAGUAUUGAAUGAAAAAGAAUAUCUUUAAAGUUCUAGAUUUAGCUAAAUCAGGUGUACUCACUUUCUGAUUUUGCACAAUAAAAAAUACCUCUUGUUCAUUGUUUUUAAAAUCCAAGAAACACUAAUAACUUUUCAAUUCUUUAAAUAAUAAAAUAUACGUUAAAAUAUCACAAAAAUUAAAAUUAUUUAAUUUUUGUGCAUAUAGACCCCACGCUGAUCUUUUAAAUUUGUUUCUUCCAAAUUUGUUUGCUUACUUUUGGCUCAAAAGCUUCCUUCCCACGUGCCCUCCCUCUCUGGCGUUUUUGUGAACCUUAUGCGCCUCCUAACCUCUCUCUCUCUCUCUCUCUCUCUCCCCAAUCCUCCUAAAGCAUAACGCCAACAUACAACAACCCCAAGAACACAGAUUUGGGGAUAACGAAACUCCGAGGAUUCAACCCAAAUCGACGAAGAUAACAUCUUCGGAGCUUCGUUUAUCCAAUUCUAUAUCUCGGGUCGGAUUCUGUUCCAGCAUCGAUUGCCCAUCUCUCCUUCUCCAGCUCCAAAACGGUGCGUCUUUUCUGCUAUCCUCUCAGCUGCUUUUACAUUCCAUGGCAAAACAAUGCUCUCAUGCUUCCAAGUUCGAUUUUUUUUUAUUCGUUGUAAUUCGUUUGUGAUAUGGGUACCUUGUGUUUUUGCUCAGAAGUGGAUUUUUCGUGUAAUAAUGUAUGAUGGUAACUGAAAUUUGUAGAGAUUAUUAAGAAAAGUUGCCUAAUUAUGGUAAAAAAAAAAAUCAAAAUUUAGGGGAUAUUUAAGCGUUGUUAUUGUGUAUGUAGCUAAAAGCUCACAUCUUUGUGAUGAAAUUCAAUUUUUUGUUACCAUUUUUCAGGUUAAAGAGCCAUACGCCUCGGCCCGGAGUUGAACAGACUCAGGAGCAGUAGGUUUUAGGUUAAUGUGGUAAAUUAGAUGUGCUGAGAGUGAUGAGACUUUGUCUUCUAUAUCAAAUUUCGGGUCUGGUUUUCUUUGGGAGGGCGAUUGAAUCAAGGGUAUUUUACAUAAGGAGCUAAAAUGCGGUCCGGGAUACUUCCCAAGGUGAACACUGCUGUAUGUUCUAGUAUUUGGAGAGUGAUUGGCGGGAGCAGGCCAGGAAAUUCCAAAACUUUACUACCUUGUCGUGGGAAAUUCUUGUCUCGGAGUUUAGGGUUGUCUUGUAGUUUACCGUAUUCAACCCCUUUGAUAUCAGACGCAACUAGACAUAGUUCCAGUCCUCUGCGUAAGGGAAAAUUUAUGGCUGCUUCAAGUUCGGCACCUGUCUUUGGAGACGUUUAUGUUGAUGACUUAAUUUCAAGUUGCGGCAAUUCAUUAGACCUGUCAAAACCUACGGGUGUUUAUUUUAAUGAUAGACGGCAGAGCAGUUUCCAGAAAGCCAGCUUGAGUUUGAGAAAAAAGGAAUCAUUCAACAGCCGUCUGAUCUCUGUGCAUGUUGGUCCUUGGUUGAGAAAUUUUUAUACCACAUCUUCUAUGUGCUACGCUACUGGUGCUGCUCAUAAUGUGACAUUUGAUGGAAACUCCAAUGAUGAACAACCCGCAAAUUCCACCAUUUUGUCUGACCAGUAUGUGCUCUCAUCUGUUGUUUACUUUGCCUCUUUUGUUGUUUGGCCUUCAUUUUCAUUAUCUUAAGAGUCUUCAGUGUGUUUUCAUAUGCUCCACACUCAUGGAUUCAAUUCUUUUUGUUUGGAAAGGAAUUAAGGGUUAUCUUCUGUGCACUUGUGUGCUCGCUUGUUCGUUUAUUUAUUUGGAAAAAAAAUUUGAACUUGGCAAGUCCCAGAAGGUAGAACACACGGGCUUGAUUAGUGUUUACUUCUUUUGAAUUGAGCAAGAACAAUCUCAAACCAAUAUAGGCGAUUGGUGUCCUUGAUGCUUGUAUAUAUAGCAAAUUAGAAAACACACCCCCACAACAAUAAAUUUGAUAUAAAAACAUUUCAAGAACUCAAUUGGGCAAAACCCCCCAUUGUUAUCCACUUGUCAUGUUCUAAUUAAUUCAUAGUUGCAAAAUUCCUUUACUGCUCUUCUACCAUUGCAAAGUAAGAAGGGUGUUAAUCUAAAGCAUUGGGUUUGAAGUUUUUUUCUCUAAAGUGUAUUCUUAUCAAGGGCUUAUCUGUGAAAAGGCCUUUUGAUGUAUAUUGCUUGGUUUCAUUUUCAGACCAAAAGCUCUGAAGCUGCUUUCAGGAUCAUGUUACCUGCCACAUCCAGAUAAGGAGGCGACAGGAGGAGAGGAUGCCCAUUUUAUUUGUGAAGAUGCACAAGCAAUUGGUGUAGCAGAUGGUGUGGGUGGAUGGGCAGAUGUCGGUGUCAAUGCAGGAUACUUUUCUCGUGAACUUAUGUCUCAUUCAGUGAGGGCUAUUCAAGAGGAGCCUGAGGGCUGCUUUGACCCUGCCAGGGUGUUGGAGAAGGCCCACUCAUGCACCAAAGCAAAGGGUUCUUCAACAGCUUGCAUCAUUGGCCUAACGGAAAAGGUUUGUUGUUUUCAGUUUGACUAACCAUUCCUGCCGACCUCUAAAAUUUAUUGUCGGGAUGCUUUUUUCAUUUUGAUUAUUUAAGAAAGAUGUGACCUGGUUUGUAGAGACAAUCAUCUGUGCCUGCCUUAUACUUCUGAAAUAAAUUUACAGAAAUGAUCUUAGUGUUUAUUGUCUAUCCAUUACUAUAUGCAAAUCAGGGUUGGGAAUGUGUCAAGGAAGAACGUAAUUACUUCCCUAAACUGGACUUAAUUAUAGAACGGUUCAAGAGUCUUGUCAUAGACCAUACCUGCUUUGUAGAAAACCACAAAUUGACGAACACCACAUAAUUACUUCCUUCAAUUGACUGUUGGCUUGGCAUGUUAAGUUGCAAGCCUUACUUGUAUAUAAGUGAAAGUAUAUCGAGUAACCUUGAAAUAUAUGUAUAGUAGAGAUCAAAUAUAGGCUGGAGAUGCUCAGCCCUGGUGAUUCAAACUUGAACAGUAUGCAUGAUGAAAGUUAGAACAACAUUUUUGCUGGUCUGCAAGAUUCCUUGAGUGGUUUCCUGAGAGUAAUAAGCCAGGAAACGUUUACAUAUGGUAAAAAUGAGCGCGUUUCUCACUUGAUUCUACUUCUAACAGGGACUACAAGCUAUUAAUCUUGGGGACAGUGGAUUCUUAGUUGUUAGAGAUGGAUGUACCGUCUUCCAAUCCCCCGUGCAGCAACAUGGCUUCAAUUUUACAUAUCAGCUGGAAAGUGGCAGUGGGGCUGAUUUACCAAGCUCUGGACAGGUCAGUCAAUUAUUGAGUGCCAUAAUAGUUGUCACUUGCGUAACCAAAGUAAAACACAGCCACCCCUGAAUGAACUUGCUUUGACUGCAUACUUUCUAAAACCGCUGCUUCCGAUAUACUUGCAGUGGAGAACUAGCCUUAAGAUAUGAUAUAUUGUAUUUUCUUAAUCCCAAAAUUUGUGAAAUCGUCGUGAGCUUAAAGGUUUCUUAUCCCCAUCACUCUUACUUUAGAUGUGACGUUAACGAAAAUGUUACAGUAUGUCACUUUCCCAUUGUAAAAUUCCUUGACCAACUAGCUUCUAAUUGCGACUCAACUUGCACCAGGUAUUUUUGAUUCCUGUUGCCUCUGGGGAUGUCAUCAUAGCAGGAACGGACGGGUUGUUUGACAACUUGUAUAACAACGAGAUUACUGCUGUUGUCGUUCAUGCGGUAAGAGCUGGCUUGGCACCACAGGUAACUGCUCAGAAGAUAGCGGCUCUGGCGCGCCAGCGAGCACUGGAUAAGAACAGGCAGACACCAUUUUCAACGGCAGCUCAAGAAGCAGGGUUCCGUUAUUACGGAGGCAAGCUUGAUGACCUUACCGUUGUUGUGUCCUAUGUAACUGGCCCCACUAAGGUGUGAGUGAGUGAGUCUUGUAAUCGGGCUUAGAGAACCCAUUUCGUUUGUAAAUCUGUUCUUCACAUCUGUUUGUAAGGUGGCUGGUGGAGCUGAGAAGCUCAUUACUCUUGAUUUUCCAUGAAACCCACAUAGAGCUGUAAUUCCAUGGGUUUUGUCGAUUGCUAUCUGAGAUAUGAUUUUCAUUAGUGUCAAACAUUAUGCAUUUUCACUUUAAAUAAGUUCCUUUUUAGAAAUCUAAAAGUGUAAUUUAACAAACUAUUUUUCUUUGAAAAGGACGAUAUUUACAUUAAUCUAAUUUAAAAUACACGGAGGAGGAUGAUAUUUUACUUUAAUUUAUUUCAACUAAGAGGAGUUCAAACUUACUUUUAGGGAUUACCAUUUGUUUUAGUCAAUUUGACUACGCUAAAUGUAGUUUGACUACGCUAAAUUUAGUCAAUUUGACUACGCUAAAUUUAGUCAAUUUGACUACGCUAAAUAUUCGAUUCAGUGUGUGAUCAAAUAUUCUUUAAACAAGUUAUGUUUCUUAUGUACAAGUUAAUGACCUUUAUCUUCUAUUUUUCUCUUAUCUAAAUUAAAGUAAAAUUUGUUUUGGAUUUAGGCCAUAGAAGUUUAUUACAUUAAAAAACGUACCUAAACUUAGACAUAGGAGGCAGCAAAAGUUAUUAUUCUAUUAACAAAACAUGCACCAACCCAAACUCAAAAGACAGAACAGACGAGCUAACUAGAGAAACUAGAUCUCAGUUAAACCUUCAAUGCACUCAGAUACCUCCUUCCCUCAUCCGCAUUGAAGCCUCCGCCUCCACCCUCUUGCUCCUCUGGUUGUCCUGCUCUGCCUUGCCUUUCUUGUUGUUGUCUUCGAGCCUCUUCCUGCUCCCUCUGCGCAUCUUCCUCUCGCCUUUCCCAUUCCUCUUGUUGCCUCCUCUCCCUCUCUCUUUCUUCCUCGUGUCUUCUUUCAUCGCCUCCUUGCCUGCCCUCCUCUUCUUGUUGCCUACCCUCCUCUUCUCUCCUUGCUGCUUGUUCUUCUCGCUCCCUUGCUGCUUCUUGUUCUUCUCUCUCCCUUGCCGCUUCUUGUUCUUCUCUCUCCCUUGCUGCUUGCUCCUCUCUCUCCCUUACGGCUUGCUCCUCUUGUUCCCUUGCGUCUUGCUCCUCUCUCUCUCUUGCGGCUUGCUCCUCUUGUUCCCUUGCGGCUUCCUCCUCUCUCUCCCUCGCCGCUUCCUCCUCUCGCUCCCUAGCGGCUUGCUCCUCUUGUUCCCUUGCGUCUUGCUCCUCUCUCUCUCUUGCGGCUUGCUCCUCUUGUUCCCUUGCGGCUUGCUCCUCUCGCUCCCUCGCCGCUUGCUCCUCUCGCUCCCUAGCCGCUUGUUCCUCUCGCUCCCUAGCCGCUUGCUCCUCUCGCUCCCUCGCCGCUUGCUCCUCUUCUCGUUUACUUGCUUCCUCCUCCUUCUCUCUCUCUUCCUCCUGUCUCUCUCUUUCCUCUUCUUCCCUCUUUCUCUCUUCCUCCUGUCUCUCUUUUUCCUCUUCCUCCCUCUUCUUAGCUUCCUCUUCCUCCCUUUUCUUUUCUAUCUCUUCCAACAUCGCUCUCUCCUCUUCUUCAGCACAAGAAGUACAAUCUAUUAUAAACGAAUCAGCCUGUGCAGACAAAAGCUGAUCAAUGGUUGUGCUGGUAACAUUAAACGACGCCGCCAAGACUAGUUUGUCCAAAUUCUGCAGAACCGAGUAUUUUCCGGCCAAAAACUGAGGAUAGUUUUUCUUUUCUGUUGUGCUAAACCCCAUGAACACAAGAGAGUCAUUGUUAAAUGACAUCUGAGCCAUUGGAUGGAACCUAGGCACAGAGAAUACAUCUCCUUCAUGAACCCUAAACCGCAUGUUUCUGCACUCCGAUUUAUUUGCUUCGGUGCUUGAACAAACCACUCUAACCAUCCCGUGCCCUUGUAGUACUACUGUUAUCUCAGUUGCCCUUGGAUUCCAAUGAGGCCCCAUCAUUGACCCCUUAAAUAAACAAAAAAUAAAUAAAAAAAUUCCACAUUAAUUAAAAUUAAAGCAUUCGACUGGUUAUACACUCUAAUUAACAUUAGAUCAAAGACAGACCUUUGUCAAAUUCACCAUGAAAAAACCAAUGUUUGAUCCCUUUAACAAGUGGGAGCUUUUCUUGUUCACAGUUAGGCUCCAACCAUUGCAAUUCUUGAAAUCCGGAUCCUCAUCAAAAAUAUUAUAUGCUGUUGUUUCCUCCUUCUUCUUACUGUUGAAUGCAAUGCCAUCAUUUCCUAGUAGAAACGUUUUGAGGAAUCGAGCCUCCAAAUCCCAGAAAGUUUCUUUCUUUGUUGGAAUUGCAUGGACAAAGGCGGAUUGGUCCGUUCCAUUUACUAUUGAUUCUAUCACUUCCUCAGAGACCUAAUAAUCAACAACCAUUUUGCAUGAAACUAAAAAUGCUUAUUUCUGAUGACAUAAUGAGAACUUCCAUUGUUUGAUUCUGGGUUGGAGUGGCUCAUACCUUAAAAGCUGACCGAAGCAAUUUCGGAUCAAAUCCUCGGACCAGGUCCCUAAUGCUGGAGUAUGCCCCUACUGCUGGAUCCUGCACAAGUUUUGUCGUCAUAAUAAAAAGGAAAUUUUGAUAAAAAUGGAUGAAAAUGUCCUAACAAUUUAUGGUAAAUUACGAAAGUAACAAAGAAAAAGAAUCAGAAAUAGGCCUUCUUACAUAUAAGUCAUCAUCAGAGUUGCUUGUAAAGAUUGCAUUAAUUCUCAGCUUCUGGCGCUCAGUCUCUAAGUUACUUUGUACAAAGAAAACAGAGCCAGGGGUGAGCCUAUAGAGAUCACCUCUCUUUAUAUCCACUCUCCUAAUUUUAUCAUCAUCAGUCCAACUCAACCUCCCACUCCCUAACACCCAAAAAACAACAAUAAGAAGACCAACUAAGAUAAAAUAAAUUGUAAUUUUAUCAUAAUAAAACUAUUUAUACCCGCAAAACUGGCACACUUAUUAAUACUCUUAACAUAUACCCUCUAAUGGAGAUGAGUUGCUAUUGUACGUGGGCCUUUGUUUGUACAAUUGUAUAGGAUCAAAAUUAAGGAAAUUUUCCCUCACAACAUAAAAAUGAAUUAAGAUGUUUUCAUCAGGGUUUUAUAUUCACAGUCGGAAAACAUAAGUAUUUCUUGGACUUGAAAUUUGGACCAUUAAUCAAGUUUCAGAUUCGUAAGCAUUUCUUAGAUUGCGAAUUUGGGCCAUUUGUCAAACUUUCUGAUUCACAAUCGUACAACAUAAGUACAUGCAUUUCUUGGACCAUGAAUUUGAACCAUUUCAUCAAGUGUUCAGAUUUACAUGCAUACAGCAUAAACAUUUUUCAAGAUGGUGAAAUAUGGUUAUUUAUGUUUCAGAUUCAUAGGAGGGCAAUAUAUAUAUAUAUAAGCAAUUCCCAACGCAAUGAAAGGGUAAAUAUUGUAAAUGUCGGUUUCAUAUUCACAAUCAACAACAUAAACACUUCUCUAACAACACCAGCCUGGCUCCUAGUAAUCAUUUGAUGGAAUACUUGUUACCUGUGUUGACAUAGAAAAUCAUGUCUGCAUGCAGAAGAACAGGAAGGAAGAGUGAGUUGGGUUCCAAAGUAAUGAACUGAAUAUGGUAGGGUUUCCUGUGUCCGUCAUUCACAUCAACGGACCAGACCUCUCCGUACUCAGUCGAAACCAGCGACCGCCGUUGAUCUUUCUUCACCAGAGACCCAGCCGGAGCACCACCUUCGCCGCCUGAACCAAUUUCCCCUUCAUUUUUCAGUGCAUUUGCUGCAUGCAAAGACACAGAAACAGAAAGGAGGAAGAAGAAGAAGAAGAAGAAGACGAAAGCUUUUCUGAACAUUUUGUUAGAUUUGCAUUGAAUUGAAAGGAAAAUAGAAGAAAAUUGGGUUUAGAUAAACGAGAGAGUAGGCGUUCCAAUCCGGAAAGAAAGUAACGUUGUCUGUUUGCAUGGGCACGUGGCCGUUGAUCGAGGCACGUGGCAUGUGAUUAGGUCUUUCGUCUACCCGUGGAGACCAUGCAGUUGUUGAUGGAACACUGACUUUUUUUAGGUCAAAGGGUAGAUUUCAUUCCCAAAAAAUUAUACAACCAAAGAGUAUAUAGUUUAGUCUUUGAGAAAAAAAAUGGUGGAACCCAUGAAAGAAAUUAGCUUAUUGAAACAACAAUGGGGGAAAUUUGAGGAAGCCAAACAACUACUUAGAGCCAUUGCUGGAUGAGGUGCAUCGGCAACAAAAGGUUAGUAAUGGGGAUCCUUCGGGACUAUGAAAGUAAAUUGUGAUGGUACGUGGUUAAAGAAAUCCGGACGAGGAGGGUAUGGAUGGGUGGUACGGAAGUUCGCAAGCAUUUUUUAGGGGGCUGAGGGAGUGGGGAAUUUCUCAUGCAAAUCUAGUCUAAUGGCAAAUGCGGAAUCGGUGCGCGUGGCUUUGUUGGUUUGUAUUGAUAUGGGGUUUGAUGCAGUUCAAAUUGAAUCAGAUUCUAAAAGAAGUGUGGAUAUGAUUAACGGCAAGGCUCAACCAAAUGUUGCAAUUGAUGCACUCCUUCUUGAUAUUCAAUAUGGGAAGCAGUGGUUAAGGUCAGUAGAUGUCAUUUUUGCUCCUCGUAUUUGUAAUACGGCAGCACAUCUAGUGGUCAUGUUUGCCUUAUGGGAGGGAGGCUCUUAUGGAUGAGACUAUUUCGAGCCAAAGUUGUUGUUUAACAUUGUGGGUGCAAAAAUUAAGGCUCAAGCAAUGAGCCGCAAUCUAAAUUUGGGGGAGUGAAGCUAGAAUAAAAGAGCAUGAUCAAACACUUCUAUGGAAUAUGGUAUAUGGAGAAAUAGAGGGAAAGUGGAACUUGGAGCCCAAGUAUUAUAUGUCUAUAAAGGAACUAGAAUCCCACGAGAACAAAGGAAAAAAGGGAAGUAUCAGAUAGUUUUACAAUGUCUUGCAAUUAUUUUGAACAAAGACUAACUUGAGUGUCAGAGUGUUUUUUUGCAGGUCCCCUCCUCCCUUAUUGAUGGCGAGCGAAGAUGGCGUCGUGGACUUCUCAUCACAGUUACAUGAUUUACUUGUUGGAAGAUUGGAAGAUCUGAAUUUUUCUAGUCCAAUAGUUGGCGUCGUCUGUAGAAAACUUAAUAAACCGUAUGGAGAAGCCGUGAACGCCAUCUAAGCUACAAUGGGGGCAUGGAUUAAAACCCCCAACAACGAAAAUUCUCUGCCCCCUUUAUGAUUUCACGAAUUGGCAAGAAAAGUCACAAUGUCGCAAGCGACCUAGGAUGGAUUAUGGGUGAGUGUUGAAGGAAGAAAGACAAAUCAGAAAUGCAUGAUGGUUGCUGGACGUGAGACUAGCCGAGAAUUUGGGGCACGACGUACAUCACGCGAACAAGAAGAUGAGAAUUUAUGUAGUAUUUAUUAGCAAGAAAUUAAAAUAACUUUUAUGAUAAUAUAAUCCUAAUUAAAUAUCAACUAUAUAUACUAAUAGUUGUUGUUAUUAAUUUGGAGUCCUGGUAUAAAGUAAUGAUUCAGAGUUCAGCGUUGCACCAACCAACUUUGGCAGCGUAUGAGCCUCCAUCCUUGCCCGCUGCUCCAUGGACGUUGUUUAUUCUACAAAGUGGGCAUGAGUCAAAGGCCCCAAACAGAUAAGUUUUAUGAUUUCUUAUACAAUUUCAUGAAAUUUAUGGCCUUUUGUCAUUGCACUUCGUGCAGUAGCACAAGAGGAAAGAGAUUCACUCACUUCAGAAUUUUCCAUUAAAAAGUCCGUAAAUUUCGAGUAUAACCACAUUUCAUAUCGGUGUAUGUACGCAGUAUUAGCAUUCAGUUAUGAUAUGGUUGACAAACCAUCAGAGUGGGGGGCGUGCUUUUAACGAUGAUAUUUCUUUCGUUCGGUGUGACAAAAAAGGUGAAACCCUUACCAGCAAUUCAAAUAAUAGGAAACAAUUUGUUAGUAAGCAAUUGAAUGGGAGAAGGACCUUUGACAAUCCAAGUGUUGAAAACUUGAAAGUGAAACUAGGCUGAAGCAACGCAACUCAUCCCCAUCAGCAUGCGAGUUUUUGUCCCCCGCGACUGCUCCAAUCCACUUCAUUGUUAAAAUGAGACGAUUGGUUAGUCUCAGGCUUGGAGCCAUCGAACAAUGCUAAUUCAAAGGAGCUAAUAAAGCCAUUAAGCACCAAUUAAUUGGAAAUGGAGCAUGAUCUAAACCCCAUGCAAGGAAGAUUUCUUCUCUUUUAUUAUUUCAAGGUUAUUGCCUGAAGUAUGCAUUUUUAUCAUAGCAUGUAACAAAAUGGUAUGGUAAGACAUUUUACUAUGGGUCUUCUUUAAUACAGCUUAAGAUGAGGGAACGAGUAUCAUCCCUUCAUGGCUUUGAAUUGUACAAAUGAAAUGUUUAAAAUUCUCAAAUGUCAUUGAUAGGUAUCUAAGUUUUCCAGUAACGUAUGCAGUCGUCCAAUUGUGCAAAAGUCAUAUUUGUGUAGUGAAAUUUUUAAUAACCAAUAGAGAGAGGCAGGAGCUCAAGGCAAUAGAGCUGCUACUUCUAGUCUAGGUUAUGUAUGAUGGUUGUAAUUGAAAAAGACAUUUACCAAGAACGACAAUAAAAUUAUUCAUAAUUCAUGCUUUCAUAUUCGUUGUCUACUGAAUGGAGCAGAUCCAAUGAGGGCAAGCAACUAACAUUCAGAUGUCUAAUUCUCACAAGGUGCAUUAAAUGUAAGGCACUGUCUCAAGAGUUAUCUGUAGAUGAGAAAAGAAGGAAAUAAGUAAUGCACAUCCCUGCAUUAUGUGUUCAAUAGCUUGCAUAGUGAGGGCAAUUAAUAUUCAACUCCAAGGUGCAAUCAUGGCCGCAGGCUGAACUCAUGACCGAGUAUCAUUUCCAUGGUCGAAGACCGAACUUAUGGCGCAAGUUAAAGCCUCUAAGAGAAGAAUUCUUUUGGCCCCCUCUUUUACAAUCUCAUUUGCAUGAAACGAUAUUGUUAUAGGUUAUAACAUUGUAGGUGUUAGAGGAAUUUCUUAGUCACCUAACAAGAUAAGACUUCUCACCAUAUUCUAAUUUUUGACAAUAGGACAUUGAAAUGAUUUUCAAUUAUCAAAUAUUUUCUGAGCGGUCAAUUUCCAUUAAGCUUCAUAGGCUUAAUAUAACAGGAAAGCAAUGCUAUUCAUGGGACAUGACACACUCUGGUAUAUCAACUUCAAUGGAAGUUAUAUACAUGACAUUGCAUGAAACUAUAAUAUGACUACUGCAUACACUGACUUGCAGAUAGUGUGAAAAUUGAUGUGGUUGCAUUGCUUUUGCUUGUGGAAGUUGAAGCUCCCAUAUAAAUAUACUAGUUUCUUUUUUUUUGUUUCUCCUUGCAUAGCUCUCAAUGCAUGUCAAUAUGUGGAACUUGAUUCAUUAUCCAUUGACAUCAGGAGUGCAGGCCCCCAUACCUCACUUGAACUAGAUUUUUUUACUUAUUUGAUAUAUGGAUCUGGGUUCAUUGCUUAUUGAUAUAUUGUAGAGAAGAUACACUCUCAUGCCUCACUUGAACACCAACACAGUUAGUGAUUUUUUUACUACAUGUAUUUCAUAACCUUGGGACAAUGCUAUCAAUAUGUAUAUGUGAAUAUGCAGAGUUGAAUUGCUCUUAUAUGCACAAGUAAUUCUCACAAAGGGACAAAACUUUUGCUUGACCAAGUUGAGUCUAACAAAAAUUUGUUGAAGACAUUUGUGUAAUCAGGACAUGGGAUAUGAGAAUAUUGAAAAGCCACUUAUAGGUAGUGUACUCAAGACUUCUGAGCAAAAGAAGAACACUCUACAUCAACUCCAUUGGCGACGAAGUUGCCUGAGAGGAAUGUUCGAAUAGAAGAAUCCAACAUGUGAAUGUUUAAGGCGCAACAACUAUGGGUGCCGCACUAACUUGCGUACGUGCUAAGGUCCAACUUUUUUCCACUAUUACUAGAAUGAUUGCUUAUGAAUGAUUUAUCUAGUAUCUAUGAAUUAGAGACCAAUGAUAAAAAAUAUAAAAUUAAGCUAACGUCUCAAAAUUUAAGAUUGAAAAUCGAAGUUCACAUGGGUUAAGUCCGAAUUAAGAUCGAUAACCCAAGAUGAAACAGGUUAAGACCGAAUCAAGAGUGAUAACCCGAAUGGACUAUGACUGAAUUAAGAUAAAAAAACCCAAGAUUGAAUGGGUUAAGACUGAAUUAAGAUCAAUAACCCGAAUGGGUUAAGACCAAAUCAAAAUCGAAAACCCAAGAUCAAAUGGGUUAAGACCGAACUAAGAUCGAAAACCCAAGAUCGAAUGGGUUGAGACCAAACUAAGAUCGAUAAUCCAAGGUCGAAUGGGUUGAGACCGAACUAAGAUCGAAAAUCCAAGAUCGAAUGGAUUGAGACCGAAUUAAGAUCGAAAACCCAAGAUCAAAUGGGUUAAGACCGAAUUAAAAUUGAAACUUAAGACCAAAUGGGGUCAAAAGGAUCGAGAUCGAACACAAACUUAGGCAGUAAACACAAAGAUCAUAAAAUGCCGAAUGCCUAAGACUGAGGGUCAAAGACCCUAGAUUGAAUUAUGGCCAAAGCCCAAGACGGAGGGUUAAAAACCCAAAACCCAUGGUCGAAUACCAUAUGAUCGCCUCGAAGGCUAAAUUAUGAUCGUGUGAUCAUAUCCGAAGGCUAACUUAUGACCGUGUGAUCGUAGCCGAAGGCUAAAUUAUGACCAAGUGAUUAUAGCUAAAGGAUAAUAUACGACUGUGUGAUCGUAGCCAAAGGCUAAACUACAAUCGUAGCCGAAGGCUAAACUUAUGUUCGAAGAUCAUCCACAUGAAAUCUUACAUGUUUGGUUAUAUCAUACCAAUGUUGUCAUAUGAAUUUUUGCAAAAGAAAUAUUUUUCCUCUACAUAUUUAGAUAUGUGUUUGUAGAGAAAAAAAAGGCAUCUGUGGGUGCAAAAAUUAAGGCUCAAACAAUGAGCCACUAACUUAAUUUGGGGGAGUGGAGCUAGAAUAAGGGAGCAUGAUUAAACACUUCUAUGGAAUAUGGAACAUGGAGAAAUAGAGGGAAAGUGGAACUUGGAGCCCAAGUAUUUUAUGUCUAUAAAGGAACUAGAAUAAAGGAACUAGAAUCCCACGAGAACAAUGGAGGAAAAAAUGGGAAAUAUCAGAUAGCUUUACAAUGUCUUGCAAUUAUUUUGAACAAAGAUUGACUUGAGCGUCGGAGUGUUUUUUUGCAGGUCCUCUCCUCCCUCAUUGAUGGCGAGCGAAGACGGUGUCGUGGACUUCUCAUCACGGUUACAUGAUUUACUUGUUGGAAGAUUGAAGAAUCUGAAUUUUUCCACUCCAACAAAUAUUUUAGAGUAAAUUACAAAAAACUACAUCAACUAUUGGUGUCACGACACUUUCAUACUUCAUCUUUUAAAAUUGAUAAUAUCAUACCUCAUUUUAUGAAUUUGUGCCAACGUCACACCUUCGUCAGUUUUCUGUUAAGUUUGACCUUUAAGUUAUGAGCUGGCAGGUGUGGGAACCACAUCCUUACCCAACUGAAUUAAAAAAAUUAAUUAAAUACUAAUAAAUAUGUUUCAACAAAAAAAAACUAAUAAAUAUAGAAAAUCAUUUAAAAAUAUUAUUAAGAAAAUGUAGGACCCAUCCCCAUCCCCCACCUUUUCCCGUCCCCUACCUUUGUCCCUUCGAAGAUCUUCUACCUAAAUAGAGGCCCAAGACCUCUCCUCCACUGACACCCCAUCCAAAUCCCCACCCACUCAUCUUUUGAUCCUCGCCAAUCCCGAGACUCCGACCACUGCCACUCCUUGCCAUCCUCAACCGUAUCCCACCUCCGACGCCGAUGUCAUCCACGUCUUCAGCUAUUCCAACUAGUUCUCGCCUGACCACAUCCACCACUGCGAGGUCCAGUUUCUCCCCGAGUUCUUCGAUUCUCGAUCCCCUUCGAAAAACCCUAGCCUCUACAAGUACUACCACAACACCAUCAUCGUCGAAUCCAAGGCCGUCCCUUCUCGGAAGCUCACCUUCACGGAGGCCCGCAAAUCUCUAGUUGGCGACAUCGGCUCCGUUCAAAAGGUUUUCAAAUUCCUCGAGGUGUGGGAGGACAACAGCAAGGCCGUCGGUGCUUCUUCUAAUGGAGGCGGUGCCAAGGAGAGCCCCAAGAAGAGGACCUGCAAUGGCUGCAAGUCUGUUUGAAGCAUUGCCUCAACUACGGAGAAUUGAAAUUGCCCCAAGAAGAGGGCACAUAAUUAAGGUUUUCUAUUUGAAAUUGGCAUGGAGAUUUGAAAUUUAGGGUUAGGGUUCGGGGGGAAUUGGGGUUUUCUGUUUGAAAUUGGGGAAUUAGGGUUAAGGUUUGGGUCGAAGAAGGGAGGGGAUUCUGAAACAGAAAGAGGGACAAAGGUAAGGGAUGGGACGGGACGAGUGCGAAUGGGGAAAGCCAGGAGAUGGACGGAGGAGGGAGAUCGCAUCCCAGAGAGAGGGUGGUGGAGGAAGGUUGGGGGGACGGGGAAGGGUUUGGUGGUUGUUUAAGAGAAGAAGAAAAAGGGUUGGUGCGGGUGGAGUCCAUUUUUUAAUUUUUUUAGUUUUUUCAAAUUUUGAAUAUUUAAUUAUUAAAAAUAUAUUUUAUUAUUUUUUAAUCCAGGUGGAUUAGUGAGUGGGUCCUGUCUCUGGCCACGUUAGCAUUUAACAGAAAAACUGAUAGAGGUCUAACAUUGACACAAAUUUGUAAGAUGAGGUAUGACAUUGUCAAUUUUAAAAGAUAAAAGUAUGAAAAUGUCGUGACACCAAUAAUUGAGAUAGUUUUUUGUCAUUUACCCAACAUUUUAACUUAUGAUGUAAACAUUUCAAUUCGAAUCUAAUAAAAUUCUUUCCUUUGAUAAAAAAAAAGACGCAUCCCUAGAUGCAUCAAAUUAAGCACAUAAAAAAAAGGGGUGUACUAUUCACACACCCUAUUUUACUUUUCACACACUCUUGAUAAUUUUUGUCUGUUGAUCUUCUUCAAUUCAUCCAAUCCGAUGACCGAAAAUUAAAAAGGUGUGUGAAAAAUAAAAUGGGGUGUGUGGAUAUCACACCCCAAAAAAAAAAGUAGGGCCUUAAGCUUAAAAAAAAUGUGUCUGAAGCCAGCAAAGGACCAAAUACAAAACCUAAAAACUAAAGUAAUUUACAUGCCUACAGUCACCAUGGCACCAGUGGUCCUUCACCACACGGCAACCUCAAUUCCAAUCAACCAAAGGCUCAGGAAGAAGAAGACACAAAGCUCCACCAUCCUUGAAACAGCACCAAACAAUCCGCCUCCACCAAACGAAUGAAGCUGAUAGGGAAGCCGAUGGGAAAACCACAGCAUCCAUGCUGAUAAAGGCACACAAACGGAAGGUGGUGGUGUAAACACCCGAGCUGAAGCUCUACACACCAGCCAAAAAAUCCAUGUCAAAGCGUGGUGAAGAGAUGUAGCAGAUUGAGAUUGGUGUGAAACAAGCGGGAUGAAGCGAUUUGGGUUGAUGUGAAAAGGUAAGAAAUGGACACUAAAGUGGAAAUGAAGUAGAAUGAAUUAGGAGAAGUGGAGGGGAAUCAGUUGUCAGAAACAUGGAAGAACGGGAAGAAGGACAUGUAAAGGGAAGAUCGGAGCAGAAACAAGGUGAAGAUCGAAGUUUAGGACUGCAAGGUGAUCUGCAAUAAUAGCAGAGGAUAUAGAAACAAAAAAAAGAAGGAAACGAAGAAGAGAUUGCACCGACCUAGGCCACACCUAGGGCCGACGUCCGGAGGGGAGUUGGAUCAAGGAAAUACCACAUACAGACGGUGCAAAAAAGUUUGGGAAAAAAACUCUCACCUUUACGGGAGAGAACGAAAAACUGGAACACUGACUAUCUAACUGACUUUUCGCGGGAAAUCAAACAGAUUUUUGUUAGAAAAUGGAAAUUGGGCUGGAGUUGGAGGCCAAAUGGCCCAGAUUGAAGGGAAACUCCAAGUUUGUUUGUUUAGUUUUUUAUUUUAAGUUAUACAAUAUUAAUUUACAUUAAAGAAUGGAGAACCUAUAAAUAUAACGGUGAAUGCAAAUCGGGUGUAGCUUUCCAAACUCAUAUAAUGCCCCUUUGUUUCCUUCAUAGUCAAAUAAAAAAAAUAAAAAUAAAAACGAGGACAAACUAAUAAAAAAACCAUUACUAAACAGAAAAUUGUAUUAAAAAACAUCUUUACUAAAUUAAAGCCAGAACCCCACUUUGAGAUAACAAAGCUUUACAAAAAAUAAGUGGACUCAAAAGCCCCUCAAACAAAACAAAAAAUAACUGCCAAAGAAAAAUGAAAAUAAAAUAUCCAAGGGCAUUUUUGUAUAAAAAAAGAUUUCAAAGUGCUAUUACUUUUCAACUAAGGAAAUUUUUAAGAUAAUGUUAGGGAGAUCAAAUUUUGUAAAUUAUAUGACAUAGUGGUUGAUGAUUGAAUAAUUAUUUAAGUGUUGAUUAAUGUGUUUAUUUCUCUAUUGGUAACACAUCAUAUAGUUUAUAAAUUUGGUCAACCUACCAUUACUCUUUAUUUUUUUUAAUUAUGAUGAAUAAUUUGAGGGUUUUUGUUUUAAGGAUGAUGUGUCGCUGUGGAGCAUUGGGAUUAAAAUUUUAAUGAGAGGUGGCGUGUGAAGAGUAGAAACCAAGCAGAUCCUAGCAUUAAAUAUAUAUAUAUAUAUAUAUAUAUAUAUAUAUAUAUAUAUAUAUAUCAACCAUAGGAUCUUAAUAUAUAUAUAUAUAUAUAUAUAUCAACCAUAGGAUCCUAACCCAUAUAAAGUGAAAUUUUAGUAAAUAAACUUGUAAUUUAGGUUUUAGGCUUCUUACAAGAGUGCUAUGGCUUAAUUACUUUGUUCAUUAUUUAUAGAGUAAAUUGUACAAAUGGUCCCUCAACUUUAAUCAAAUUGGAGCAAUGGUCCCUCAACUUAUUAAAACGUGCAGUUAUGGUCCCUCAACUAAAAAUCCAUUACCAUUGGUCCCUGAACUUUAAUUCAAGUGGAGAAAUGGUCCUUUAACUUUAACCCAAUUGUAGCAAUGGUCCUUCCAAUAUAACUCGUUUUAACAAAUUUUUUGACAUAGUUGACGAAAAGAACCAUAAUUAUACACUUUGAUGAGUUAAGGGACCCUAAUUAUAUAAAUAGUCAUUCCAACAUAGCUUAUUUUGACAAAAUUUUGACAAAAUUGAUGAAAAGGACUAUAGCUACACAUUUUGAUAAGUUGAGGGACCAAUGGUAAUGGAUUUUUAGUUGAGGGACCAUUGCUCCAAUUUGAUUAAAGUUGAGGGACCAUUUGUACAAUUUACUCUUAUUUAUAAAUAAAAAGGUCUCAGUUUUGACUUACAUAGUGACAAAGACGUAUAACUUGUGUUGACUUUAAAAAUUAUGGAUGACUCAUUGUAUGAUCCAGUCUUUUGUUCCUAUAAGUAGAAUAUAUUCCAACUUAAAUUAAAAUAUCGUUGUAUAAAAAAAAAUUGUACGGUUUAUAUUGUUGGCAGUAGAUGGGCUACUUCAAGAGGUGGUGAUACCAUUUAUUUGGCUUAUGAGUUUCUUUAAAUUUUGGUUGUUGUUAUAACAAUAUGAGUUUGCAUUUGUAGAGACGACUAUUAUCUGCUUUAAUUUUACCUUUUUGAGUUCGUUUAAUAUGUUGCCCUAUAGACUUGGUUUUAGCAUCUUUGGUUGUAGUGUUGGAAUUUAGUUAAUGAAGUUUGUUAAUUACUAUGAUACAAAAGAGUAAGGUUAGGGAAACUAAAUUUGCAAACUAAAUGAUGUGUCACCAAUAGGAAUAAGCACGUUUAUCAACGUUUAAGUAAUAAAUCAAUCAUCAAUUUCCAUGUCCUUUAAUUUUUAAAACUUUGUCUCAAAAUUUAGUCUUCCUAACAGUACUCGAUACAAAAUUAAGGGUAAUGCUAGGGAGACAACACAAUUUUUUGAACCAAAUUAAUGAUGUGGUUGUAGAUGAUUGAAUUAUUAAUUAAGUGUCGACUAAUAUGUUUGUUUCUUAUUGGUGACACAUCAUUUGAUUUGCCAAUGUGAUUUAAAAAAUUGAUCUCCCUAGCAUUAUCUCAAAAUUAAUCAUCAAAUUUUGACGUUCGAAAAAACUCAAAUUGUAAUUGGAUACGAAAGCAUUUACUUUUUUAGAAUUUAAAUCUUAUCUCAUGUUUUCAACGAAUUGUACCAAUAAAUCUAACUACAUCUGAUUUCUGACUGCAACGCAAAAAUUCGUUUAUCAAAUGGUUUAUCUGACUUGGUCAUGUCACCAAAUUCAAGUUGCAAAAUACCAAACACCUUUCACCACAACCACAUACUAUUUGAUUUCAACUGGUCUAAUCUCAGUGGUUUGCAGAACGCCACAUGCAACACACAACGCACACGUAACACCAAACCCUCCUCUGAGAGAGAGAGAGAGCAUGCAUAUGCAUGUAUAAAAUGCGGAGGAAUCAAAGAAAAAUAAAGAAGAAAUGUGGUCAUACAUAAAACUAACAUGAAUCAGGGGGUAUUUUUCAAAGCAAAAUCAACAUAUCCUAUGGGGAUCCCAACCCCAUAUAUAUCAUAAAAGGAGAUAGGUGCGGAGUAGGAUUCUAUUUCCUUUUUUUUUUUUCUCAUCUUUCCUUUCUUUCUAUUUGAACGGUCACGAUUAAAUCACGUCAACAUUUUAUAUUAAUUUUUAUAGCAAGAGAAAAAUAAAAUAAAAGAAUAUGAGAGGAGGGGUUGAAAGGGAAUGGAAAAAAGAGAGGAGAGAAUCAUAAUCCUCGAGGUGGCAGCUGUUGUGUAAGGGUAAUGCUUUGUUAUGUGAAAGAUGGGAGAUAUUUUUUAGCGUGAUCGAUAUAUAGAGUGGUACAUCACAUGUUACUAUAUAAAUUAUGUGAUAUGUGUAUUAAAAAGUCAAUAAUUUAAAAAAUAAAAAUUUCCAUUACUUUUAUAUAAACAUGUGAUAUACUAUUUAUAUUUCAAUCACAAUAAAAAAUUUCUCCAAAGGUAGAAGAUCCUUAGGCCACUACGAUGCCUAAAAAAUAAUCACUACCAGUCUACCACUCUCUCCACCGCUGCUGCAUGCGCCAGUAAUCUCUAUCAACCUUUGCCUUUUUUAUUUCUUUUCGAGAGUGGGGUGAAUGGACAGGUGAGACCAUCUUUAUAUGAAUGAUUUAAAUCAGAAUCUCAACCCCCUUCUUCCCAUCACCCUUGUCUUUUGUAUGCUUCAAGCUUCCCUCUCCCACCGCAUGCGUCCCGUGUACUUAAAUAUCAUACAAGAACCUUAAUUCUUAAGUAACAAGUCCUUGUACACGUGUACCAAUAUAAUAACGACACACUUUUUUCUCAUUAUGUACACCUUUCAAACGAGUUUAAAGCAAUGCAUAAUGUAAAUAUAAAUAACUUUCAUUUAGUCUUAAAAAAGUUUCAGUCCUGACCAGUUAUCAUAAUGUAAUAAGUUAUAAUUUUUAUAGAUUUCAGCUCACUUGUCUCUACAUAUUAAUGAUUGUCAAUAAGUCAUUCAAUAUAAUCACUCUUUUACAUAUCUUCUGAACCACUAUCUGUAUGCACUACCGGCUAUAAGAGACUAAGUAUCUCUUUUCUCAUUAUCAACAUCUUAGAUAAUUUUAUAACGUUGGGAUGGAACUAAGUUUAUUACUAUAGAGAAAUUUUACUCACUACAAGAAAAUACUCUUUUACGACACCUCUAUUUUACCAAAGUGUUAUAUUGUGAUAUUAUAAUUAAACGAAUUUUCUCUGAGAUAUUAAGAGAUCAUGUCGAUCGAGCAAACAUUGGAUGUUUCAAAUUCUAACCCACAAUCGAAUCGUCUGCAGAUGUUUCCUUUGUAUUAUUAGGAAGGAAAUAUGCUUAUCCGUCUCCAAAUUCUGCAGAUAAUUAUAUUUUAUAUCAUUUUGUUACUUUUCAUUUGAUACCAUCUGUUGGAUUUUUUUUUAUAGUAUUAUAAAGAAAGGGUCGAGGAUGCCUUAAUAAGUCAAUAGUUAACGGUAUAAAAUCAUCAAAGCUCAAAUCAAUCUGCAACAUCUCUGCUUAAUUUACAAAAAGCAAUUAAAUAUUCAUCAACAAGAAGUUAAUUACAAACUACAAUCACAUUUGGGUUUGUCUUAUUUUAAUUUUCAAUUAAAAAUCCCGUUUUCUUCUUUCUUUUUAUUUUUGUUUUUCUAAUGCUACGUACAUAUUCUUCCUUUGCCAUUUAUUUUCUGGGUUUUGCAAUCUUCUAACUUAGCUACAACAAAACCAUAUAAACAAAUUCUGAAGAAUUGAAUCUAUAUAUAUUUUUUUCUUUAUAAUUUGAAUUGGUUGAAAGAAGACUUUCGGUACCUUUUGUUAUAAACUAAUAGAAAACUCUAAUUUACAAGUGCUUAGAAGGUGAACUUGGAAAUAUUUUCAUAGUGUUAUAAAUAAAGUAUGAAAAAAAAAAUCAAAAUUCGAAUCCCUCGUUUAAAUUCAUGCAUGUAAACAAACUACAAUAACGAAUUUUCUAAUGUUGCUGCAUUGGAUCCCUUGAGUGUUUACACCAAACCAUCCCAAUAUUAUAAUUGACAAAAAGAAUACAGAAAAUCUCAAACGAUCUGUAAUCAAACACAGGCCCCUUCUUUUUGGCUGGAUUAAUGAAACAAAUGAUAAUCAGCUUGAUUAGGACUUAAGUGCUUCAGUUAAUUUUAAAUAGAUCAAUUUUAUAAUAUACACUUCGCUUAUUAAUUAUUAUAUGUAGCUAGCAAAAAGAUCCUAAACCAUCUUUUUAUGGUGGCCAAAACUUUUCUAGUAACAAAGUCCCAUCCAACCUAUCAAUUCAUCACCCCGUAUUAGAAAAAUAAAAAAGGAAGAAUGUAGAUCGCUAGAUCUUGUGUUUAAAGAGAGUGUCGUGAACUUGGAUUUCAAGGGAUUUUAAUAGAUUUUGAAGUGGUAGAUUUCAAAGAAUUUUAAUAGAUUCACAAUUCUAUGUGGAUUUCAACAUAUUUAUAUGGAUUUCUUAUAUAAAUUUGUAUGGAUUUUUUAGGAUUUAGAAACACAAAAUGAAUUUCUUUCUCAUUGCACAAUCCGAAAGGAACAUAUAUAUAUAUAUAGAAAUACAAACCAAUAAAAUAUGUAAAUAGAAUGGGUCGUUGAGAACAUUAAUCCAAGAGUUUGAAUAGUUAUAAAGGAUAGUUUAGAACAGCAUAUCCAUUCAAAGAAUGAUGAUUUCAAGUACAAGAAUAGCAUAUAAUUUAUGUGAAAGAUUACCAAAUGGCAAAUUGAGCAAGGACGGAUUUGGGCAGCAAAAUGCUGGGGAUAAAAACAUUUUAACCCUAAAGCACGGACAGUACCAUUUUAGCCAUACAAUCUGCGGGAGGAACAAACCAUGGCACGAAUUCAGAAAAAUACAGAAAAAUGCGAUUUGCUGGAGUUUACAAUCGGGAUUUUAUCUGUAUGUUAUUUUGCUUUAUCCCAAUUCAGAAAAAUCGUGGUCUUAUUUUUACUCAUCUUCCCAGAUGAACAAACGAAGAGCACGGAUUCAGUAAAUAUACAAAAGCAAUGUGAAACGUGGGAGUUUACUGGGAAAUGCUCUGAACUCAGGGUAGGAUUGACUGUUCAUCUUCUAUGGUAUGGGGUGAAAAGAAAUCAGAGGGUGGACGGUUGGAUUGUAGAUGGCAUUUGGUAUUUAUACCACCCAUCCUCAAAUUCAUUAAAGUCCUUCAUCCACAAAAAUCCUAGCAAAUCUUUGGCAUUCCCACUACACCUAAAUUUGUAUAGAUUUUUUUAAAUUUUAAUUGACUAUCCAUAGAUUUCGGUGUAUUCUUUAAAUAAUUUUAAAUCAUAAUUUGACAACACCAUGAUUUUAAAAUCCACUUUUAAACUCUUAAUUGACUACACUUUAAUUUUAAAAUCUAUUAAAAUACCAUAAAAUCCUAAUUUAACUACACCCCUAAUUUUCUCUUUGCCUGUACGGAAGGAUUUACAUCAAUCGGUGAUUGCCCUAUCACCCAAAUUCACGACCCAUUGCACAAUUUUGGAAGAGGAACAUAUUCUCUCUCUCUGGUCGCGGCCAAAGGCAAUUUGGCAAAGUAAUCCUACGUGGGCCUUGUUUCUACGCACUGUGGUGCAUGGUUAUGAGUAAUGCUAGGGAUAUCAAAAAUUUUAAAUCAUAUUUACAAACUAGAUGAUGUGUUUGUAAAUGAUUUAAUUAUUAAUUAAGUAUCGAUUAAGAUAUUUAUAUUUUUUUAUUAGUGACACAUUAUUUAAUUUGUAAUUUGGUUUAAAAAAUUUAAUAUUCUUAUAUUACUCGCAUGGCCAUUAUUGCCAUGCAUGUCCGACAAAAAGUUAACCCUAGUGGUGGGUCCUUAUCUGUGGCAAAUCAACUUACCUUAGAGUGCUUGCUUGUAGGACCGAACCCUUCGGCCUUAAUUUGGGUCCCUCCUCCAACGUCAACAAGAUUUCCGUUAGCUUUUUGCUCCAAUAUCUAGUGUGAACAUUGCUCCAUGCUUCUAGAUUACGUCAAAAGUUGGUUUUUUAAUUCGAAAUUGUCUAUACUAAAGAAUGGAGGAGUGUGCUAAAUUUUGGAAUGGUUAGCUAUAAUAAUUUGAUUCGGAUUUACUUUAGCGAUAAUUGAAUCUAAAACCUAUCACUUACAAUUGAAGAAAAAUAUCACUAAACCGUAGUGCUAAAUAACUUGUCUACAAUUGCUCUUAAUAAAGUUAGUUACCGAGUACAUACGUUACUUUAGGAACUUAAUUAAACAUGGAGAAGUAUCUGCGUCUACCCAAAUACCAUUAUGUGCAGUGGUAGAUUCAGGAUUUGAACUUGACGAUCUCAGUGUUGGAGUUCCAAUUUUUUUAGAUGGAAAAAGCGCGUGAAGCACGCAAAAAUUUUCAAUUUGUUUAUUGAGACAUUUCAUUGAACACUUUGUGUGCUUAUUGCCGUCGUACGAGCCAUUUGCACACAUGUCAACAUAUAUCGACCCUUAUCGAAGCAAUUUGUUAAGUGAUACCGAGAGUAUCUGUCGGAGUUAUUUUGAUGUAAAUGUCGAGUGUUGCAGGUAUAUAUAUGCCUAGUAGGCAUUACAUCAAACACUUGAUGUACACAAAAUGGUCUCGUAUCAAACAUUCAAAAGGUCCUUGGAGGACCUUCAUAGGUGUGUUUCCCGGCUUCUAGAUGGUCCUAAGACCACCUUGAUCCCUAUGUGGAUCCACCCUUAGUUAUGUGAUAGUAUUAUUCUACUUAAAUUAUUAUACAUAUAUUGUUGCUUUUAAAAAUGUAACAUAUCAAUUAUAUCGUCCACAAUUUAUUCAUAUUAUAAAAAACUGUAAUGAUAUGACCGGUUUUUCCGAUGUAAUCCUUAAACUUAUUAAAACCAUGACAGGCCUAUACUAAUUAGCUUUUGCUAAGUGCCUUGCAUGGUUCAGGAAGAUACAUUUAGUUACUUUCCAUUAUUGUAGGCUGAGCCAGCAAGUAUCUAAGCCCUCAAAGAUUUAAUCAUGCUUCUUUCUCUAAGCUUUUUCAAAGUGAGAUAAGUAAAGGUGCGUGCUAGUGUUAGUAUGAGCUUUCGUGGGUCCUCGGAAGAGUUUGGGGGGACAAUACUUUGGAGCUUUAACGCCAACAGUUUGACACUUUGACUUCUUUGUCGUUUUACGCUGAGAAGAAUUCAGAAGUCCCUCCGAUUCCCAUAUGAUAUGAGUUUGGUAUGGAAAGACUUUAGAAUUAUGUAGAGGGAAGAACAAAUAAUUUUUUCUUAGUCACGGUUUAACAGUUCCUUAUUUAAUUACAAUUUUAUACAAGAUGGUAAUUAAAUGUAUAAGUAACUGAUGAGUAGAAAUAAUCAAUGAAGGAAUUGUAGGUGACUUUGAGGGGAUUGUAUCUAGAAUCGAAACUUUAAUCCCAAGAUGCUUUGAAAAAGAUGUUUAAUUAGUUUAUUGAAAUGGUAAAACGGACCAGAACUCUUUCUGAAUUUAGACUAUAAGUGGUAUUAAAACUGUAUUUGGAACAUGCAUGAAUGGAUCAUUACACUACCAUAAAAUAUUGUUCGCCCGACAAAAUUUGAUCCGAUGAACCAUAUUUCGUCAGAUAAAGUAAGUUUACCCGACGAAAAUUUCCGUUGAUCGGGCAAAGAUGGUCAACAUAUAUGGUUUUUCCAAAGGCUUUGUGCGACAAAAUAAUUUUGUUGGGCAAGAACACUUUGUCGGGUAACAUUUUGGCACCAAGAGAAAAAAUGGCACGUAUUUUGUAAAUUAUUUUAAGAUGAAAUUUUUAACUUGUAAAGUAAAUUAACUUUUAACAUAGAUAAUGCGAAUGCAUUACAAGCUAAAAAAUGGACAUAUGGCAUAAAAUAAAAGACAACAAGAGAACAAAACUACUACAAGUGAAAUUCAUUGCAUAGAAGAAUUUAGGGUAAAAGACUGUUUACUACUCUCAAGUUUCAUGGUUUUCAACAUUUAGUACAUCAAUUUUUUUUCAUCCCAGAGUCAUACCUAAAGUGUAAAUUUUGGGACAGUCUCAUACAUCCGUUAGUCAAACUGUUAAGUCUCCCGUUAACUGUGACGUGGCGCCCAUGUGGACAAUGAUUGGGCGCCACGUGUCAUUAAAAAUAUAAUAAACUAUUAAAAUAAAUAAUUAAUUAAAAGUAAAAAAAAAAAAAUCCCCAGAUCCCUUUGUCUUCCCCACCCCGACUGUCACAUCCCGGCCCGGGGCGGACCACUUCCCGGGCCCACUCCACCAUCAUAGCACGAUAUUGUCCGCUUUGGGCCCCGACCACGCCCUCACGGUUUUGUUUCUAGGAACUCACACGAGAACUUCCCAGUAGGUCACCCAUCAUGGGAGUGCUCUCGUGCGCUACUCGCUUAACUUCAGAGUUCCGAUGGAACCCGAAGCCAGUGAGCUCCCAAAAAGCCUCAUGCUAGGUAGGGAUGGGAAUAUACAUUUAAGGAUCACUCCCCUGGGCGAUGUGGGAUGUCACACCGACCCCCCUCCCUUCUCCAUCUGCACAUCCAUCCUUCCCUCAUCCCCUCCGCCCCCUUCAUCCCAUCCACCCCCUUCAUCUUCUCCAUCCGAGCACCUCCAUCACCCACCCCUUGCCUACCCGAGCCACCCUUUCUCCAUCCACUCCUCCCUCUGGCACUUGCUGCAACCCCCACCCUCUCUUCUCUCCUCUGCAACCACCCCACUCUCCCUCCCUCUCUUCUCUCCUCUACAACCCACACCAACCACCCUCCCUCCCUCCCGUCCUCUCUCUCUGAUUUCCUCACCGGAGCUCCGCCCUCCCUACGCCACCCUCUCUUUUUCUCUCUCUCUACAAUUUGAAUUUUUGGAUUUGGAUUGAUUGAUUAAUUGAUUGGUUGUUUGAUUGAGAUUUGGUUGGUUGGUUGUUGUUCUUGAAUCUCUGCAGCUAGGCGAGAUUUCUGUGGAAGAGAGGGUCGCCGUGCUUCCAUCCGAGGACAAGGGACUUGUCAGGUUCCUAGAUCUCGACGGAAUGGAUGGCUGAGUUCUUGGAUGUGCAAAGGGAGUGGACGGGACUAGGCCUAUGCAGAGGGAACGGGAGAAAAAACGAAAGGGAAUCUGGGGAGAAGGGGGAGGGGAAGGAUGGAUGUGUAGAGGGAGAAGGGAUGGGGGGUCGGGGUGGGGAAGACAAUGGGGAUCUGGGGUUUUUUAUUUUUUUAUUUUUUUUAUUUUUUUACUUUCAUUUUAUUAAUUAUUUUUAAAUUUUUAAUGACACGUGACACCCAAUCAUUGUCCACGUGGGUGCCACAUCAUCAUUUAACAGCAAAGUUAACAGUUUGACUAACGGAUGUAUGAGACUGUCCCAAAAUUAACACUUUAGGUAUGACUCUGGGAUGAAAAAAAUUGAUGUACUAAAUGUUGAAAACCAUGAAACUUGAGGGUAGUAAACAGUCUUUUGCCCAAGAAUUUAAUAUCACACAUGGAUUCUUUUUGUGUACAUGUGCAUUUUUCAUUUUCAAGUACAUGUGCAUUAUUCAUUUUAAAAAAACGAGACUUUCCUUUCUCAAGAAUUAUAUCAUUAUUCAUUUCUGUUGAAUAUAAGUUCUACAUCGGAGAAUUAAGAAAAUAAGAUGCAAGAUAUAAGGGGUCAUUUUGGUUUCACAUCCUUGUCAUACAAUAUAUAAGUAUAUGGUUCCACUUCUAAUAACAUCAAGGUCCUUUGUAAUAAAACUCAACACCGAAAAAUACAUGGUUAAGUUGGGACAAUAUCACUGUAGCUGAGAGUGGAUGAGUGGCCCGUCUCUUUGAACAUCUGACAGGUUGAACCAAAUUUGAAAACAAACGCUCUUAAUCACUUAAUGUAAGCUCCAUGAAACUACAAAUACAUAUUACAUACGUUGUUGAUCAUAAGUGAGAUCCACAAUCAAGCAUAAAAAUAAGUUACCACCAAUAACCUAAACUUUCAACAAGCUAGCCAACCGCACACUUCACUGUUAUGGGAUCCUUCUAAAAAUACACCUAACAUGGGUUGAUUGCUUUUGCAUGGCCUGGAGAGAGUCCAGAAGUGAGCUAAUUACUAAAAAGCAGAAUUAGACAGCGAAUCAAACAAAGAAAUGUACAGAAAACUCAAAAAAGCAAUUGUAUGCAAAUAAAGACUUGAGCAAGAAGCUUCAAAGAGAUUAAAAGCCUCCCUCCGAACCCUCGUCAUCCCUCUAAUGUCAUGUAUGACAUUUCCACACAAACGCUACUACUUUACCUUAUUAUAUUCCAUUGCCAUCCCACUACCACCACCAUGCACACACGCAAAGAUAAAAAGACUUCAAUCAUCGCCACCAAAAGCCCCCCUUACCCCUCCCUUCACAUUUCCUCUUCCUCUCAACCAAAUCACAGCUUUCUAAAUAAGCCAGUCAUAAAAGAGGGGCUUUCUAAAUAAGCCAUGAGAGUGCCUGUUUCUUCCCCACACAGCAACAACAACAACCAAUCUCCCAAGCACAGCACCCAGACUAAUAACCAAAGUGUCAACUUUCACCUAGGUAUUUCGAACUUGGGGGGCUACGAGCCCACCUCGGUUCUCGACCUCCGCCACAGCCCCAGCCCUGUCUCCGCCGAGAAACCCUCCAAAAUUUUGGCAAUCUCCGACGUGCUGUCCCACUCGAACCAUGACCCUGUGGAGUGGGAGGAGCAAGUGGACUGGGACUCAAUCAUGAAAGACUUAGGGUUGCACGACGACAACGUCCCGAACCUCAAGAAUUCAAUCCCGCAAUUGAAUUCAAACGAUCCUCAGAUUUCGGAGUACCUGCAUCCUCAACCGUUCGAUCCCACCCAGCUCGUCCACUCCGAUUACAGCAUCAAUCUCUCCGAAGUGUACUCCUCCCAGAAUUGUUACGACCAUGCGAUCAACGACUUCCAUCAAUCGGGCAACUGGAACGUAGGGGUUGAUUUCAUAGAGGAAUUAAUCCGCGCCGCGGACUGUUUCGACUCGGACGAGUUGCAACUCGCUCAGGUGAUCCUAGACCGUUUGAACAACAGGAUGCGAUCCUCCUCCCCGUCGAAACCCGUCGGAAAGCCACUCCAGCGCGCCGCGGUUUAUUUCAAGGACGCUCUUCAAUCCCUCCUCAAUGGCUCUGAUACGGCGGCGCGCGAGUUCUCUUCCUCGUCCGACAUCGUCCAUACAAUCCGCGCCUACAAGAGCUUUUCCGGAAUUUCGCCGGUCCCGAUGUUCUCUCACUUCACAACAAACCAGGCCCUGCUCGAAGCCCUCAACGGAUCAGCCUUCAUCCACGUCAUCGACUUUGACAUCGGCCUGGGCGGCCAGUACGCUUCCCUAAUGAAAGAGCUCGCCGAGAAAGCUGACGUGGCGAGCCGAAAUAAAGGCAACCAGGUCCCACCGGUGCUCCGCAUCACCGCCGUCGUGCCAUGAGCUGAGUACCCGUCCGACUCGUCUGGAGACACGUCUCUUCCUGUAUCUGGCUGCCGUUAGCUGACGUAGUAUGUUGAUUUCUCUCGCGAGAAUCUCCAGGACUGUAGGGCUAAACACACCGGCGUGUACUAGUAGCAUCUGUUUCUGAUUUUACUCGAGUCCAGGUUAAAGCGCGUGGCGCGGCUAUCGUUUCAAACGGGGCGAAAUUGCAGUCGGGUGCAAGUGUUAUUAUAACGUCAGAUCGCGUGACGCCCUGGGAUAGUAUAGAUCAUCGUGGGUAUCAGUGCUUGUAGUACUGAUGUGUGCUAGCGCGUGCGCGUGAGGAGGCACUCCUCGAAUCAUACGGGAGGUAAAGACGACCUCUGCGGGAUAGAAGUUGGGAGCAGGGUGGUCGUAAGCUCCUCGGUGUAUAUUAGAAUAUGGCCUGGGAUCGGGUGAGGAGUACCUCCCUGUUGCAGAUGGUACGGUGAAGUAAGGCACCGUGUCGGGCAGUGAAGGUAAACCGCAGACUGUAUAAGGCGCCGUGAAUAGGAGAUGGUGGUUAUCACAUAUAAGUUGCACUCUUCCUAGAGGACUGUUCUUCUGAUGAGGAAGGGAACGUCUUUCCACGGCCGAGUUAAGCGGGUAGCGGUCGAUACUAUAUAUUUAGGGGUCUUAUUAUUAUCACUCGUCAUGACAGUGAGACACAUAAACGAAUGCGAGUGAGGUCGAAAAUAACGGGCAUCGGAACGAGACGUUGGGAACACCUUGAAUGCUGAUAUGAGUAAUCUCUCUAUCACUCAGGGUUGUGGACGACACGUUUCUAGAUCCGCAUGAUCUAACAUCACUGCUUGGUGGCGGGGACUCGGUUUUUUCGUGACGGCUCUUUGGCCUUGUUAUAUACUUUUGUCUCCAGAGUAGACGAGAGCGAUUAUACUUGGGUUUCCGUUGUUCGUCGAGAGCUUGAGGACUUAAUGGCAUCUCCUGCUGGAAAAUAUAAAAUAACCAAGCAGUUUAUGGUGAAAGUGCGUCGUCGCAAGGUGUUAGUGCUCUUGAGAGAACUUGAGUCAUCUGGCGUAACAUCGCACGAUGCUCCGAUUGGUCUGUCACAGUAUUCUCGUUCUAGAGAUGUCGGAUAGCAUUACUUUUGCGCUCUGUGAUCGACUAUGUAUGUGCGCCUAUUGAGGGCGGAAGUCAUAUAGUGCGACAAAGGAGACACGUCGAGUUAGCAGGUAGACGCGACUACUGUAAUACCUGGUCGGUGGCGAAGAGCGGAACACUGGCGUAGUGAAUAGAGCGUAAACUGCACGUUGCGCAGUUAGCAGAUGCGUUACUUAUCUAAGUGCCACAGGAGUUCUGAUACAGGUGCGCGGACAUACGAUAGCAUGAGUCGAGGGUUAGUCAGUAGAACACCUGAGACUGCGAGCGUCGUGAGUGAAACAUGUAGAGACUGAUAAUAUAUAGGCUCCGCACCAGCCCGCCUUCCGAUGGAUUUUCUGGCGGACCGCCAGCUCCGUCAAGAUCCAGCUGUGGAACGUUCCUUCUUCAAAAGCAAAAGUAUCUCAUAUCAUCUCUUCUCAAUUUUUUCUCUUUAUCCUUCAUGCUGCUGCAAGAUGGGGAGAAGGUGAACAAUCAGUCGGAGCUCUGAUUGCUUACCUUGUCUGUCACCUCUUUCAGCAGACCCCUAGCUCGGCGACUUGGGGACUCCUACUACAUGGUUGUAUCGCGCUUGACCAAGCCUGAAACUACAAGUAAGCUUCAAGUGAAAUUGAUACAUUACCUUGUGCAUCUCCACAGUUUAAAGAUACCACCCCUGGAUGGAGGAAGAGUACUUCCAGAGAAGAUGCCACAUCUA